rnacentral:lncRNA from 1 species
CCCCUGUGGUUUCGUUUUUCUCUUUUUGUUAUCAAUUUUAUUAUUAUUUUUUUCUUAAAUCAGUGACAAAGUUAAAAUUAAAGGAUACUAAAGUGAAUAUUCGAUAAAUAUAGAUGGUUAUCUGAAGUUUUUUGUAUAUAAUUUAACGAAAUGUUAACGAAAAAGCUUCCGAAAAGAUAAAAAUGAAACCACAUGGGGGCAAAUUGAUACGUUUUAAACCACAGGGUAGUAAAGUGAGAAUGCAUGAAACCACAGGGGGGGUUUUUGAAGUUUUCCCUAUAUAAUAUGAUAAUUAUUAUAUAUUAAUGAUAUAUAAUAUAUAGAAUAAGGCCCCGUUUGGUCUAUUUUUGCUAAACACCAAGCAAAGUUAGCAUGUUAAUUUAUCCCCGCGCUAAUGGGCUAUUCCGGAAUAACCCGUUAAGAGAGGAGAAUAGUAGUUCCAUCUAUUGGGUGGAACAAGCUAUUCUCUAAUUUAUCCCUCUUCUAAUUAAGUUAUGAAUAAUUAUAAAUUAUAAUUAAUUAAUACAAUUAAAUUUUUUAAUAAUUGACAAAUUAAUUAUUUAAGUUAUUAAAUUAAUAAAUAUUUAAAUAAUAAUCUAUUUAUAAUUUAUUAUUAUUUAUCUAAUUAAAUAGUUAAAUUUUAAAAAUUUAAAAUUUUAAAAUUUAUUAUUUGUAAUUUCAAAAUUAAAGUUUAUAAUUUUAAGUUCUAAAUUUUAAAUUUUAAAUUUAAAUUUUGAUAUUUUAAAUUUUUGAAAUUUAAANNNNNNNNNNNNNNNNNNNNNNNAAAUUUAAAAAUUUAAAUUUAAAUAUAAUAAGAGGGUAAUAUAAUUAUUUUUUAUUUAUAAAAACCUACUAUCCUUCUUAUUCCAUCUUACCUAACCAAACGUUAUUUUUUUUUAUUCACAAGAAUAACCCAAUUUUCAUCCAAAUACAAAAUUGAUCUAAUCUCCGCUUACAUCUCAAUUUAUUCCUAUCCCUGUAAUAGCUACUUUUUGCUUAUUUCCGAACCAAACGAUACUUAAGAGAAAAUAUAUAUAAUAGUUGUUUAUUUAUAACUUUCUUUUUCCUUUCAACCAAACCAUUGUAAUGAUUUUUUUUUUUAUAAAUCAAACACUACAAAAUGUUAAAUUUAUUUUCUUCCAAAUUUUUUUUACCAAUUUUUUUUUUUUUCAAAGUUUUAGAGAACCAAACAGCCCCUUGACUAUAAAGAGAUGAAAGUUUGGGUGGUUUUGAUCAAGAAUUUAAGUAUCAUGGCACGGGAUCGUGUUGAAAACUUGUUAGCACUGUACGGCACAGUGCGUGUCAGACCGUGCAGAUUCGUGUCGGUCACAAAAAAUAUAUAUGUGCCGACACGUAAUGGCAUGAAAUAUUAAUUUUUUUUAGCAACAAUAUAUAUCAAUUAUUUAUUAUAUACUUUUAUUAAAUUUUUAAAAUUUUAUUGAGAAUAUUACUAACAAAUUUCAAGAAUAAAAAAUUUUAUGUUGUGCCAUCGGCACAGAAGCUGCAUCGUGUUGAUAUUUUACUGACACGAUACGAUACAGUGAAUACGGCUCAUAUUAAUGGACACUUUAAUUCUUGAUUUUGAUGCAUUUAAUAGAUUAGUCAUAUUUUUCGGAUUGAUCAAAUGUGAACUUGUGCUAGAAAAUUGGAUGGAUUUCGGUAGACACGUCACCUUCUUUGGAUUGAUAUGAACUUUGGGCCAGUGAGGAACUUUCUAAUAAUUGGUAUCAAAGCCAAAUGACUAAAAAUGUUUGGAGGGGAAUUAUUGGGAGACAUGUCACAUACUAGUUAGUUAACAAACAUUCUCUCUUUGUUUUUCUUUUUUAAGAGAGAGAGAGAAAGAUAACACGUUAUCAGUUUCGUUUUUUUUCAAAAUAAGCUCAAUUGAAAAUAUAAAAUAAUUAGAUUUAAAUUUUGCGUACCAAUCAUUAAACCUUUUUUUUUUGGAGAAAAAUAUAGCACGCUAUCUGUUUUAUUCAUUAAAAGUAUGAAUUAACCAACAUAUGUGAGAUAAAAAAAAAAAACUCGGCAGAAGCAAGAAAAAAAGAACCUAAAAACGUUGGCUUUUAGACAAUAGAAUAACCUUUUAUUGGGUUUCCAAGAUACUGAUCUUAGCUACCGUCAUCAGAGGAUCUUAAUAAGCAUUUCUAAAAAUAGCACUAUUUCUUGAAUCCUAGAUGACCCACCGGCAAGCUAUCAAAGUGAUCAAUCUUGUUCGAAUAGGCUGUGAUUUGUUCCUUAACAUUCACCUAUCCCACGUGCAUCUCACGUUGUCCCCCAAAUUCCUGUACUAAACCCCUUCUAGGGUUAUCGCAAUCAGGAAUUUACUAACAACACAUUAUGUGAAUAGAUGAUCCACUAUCUCCUCUUCGACCCUAAUUAUUAAACUUUUAUCAACCGCUUUGAGUACGAUAUGUUAGUUAACAAUAUUCUUAUUAGCUAAUACAGACCGGUAAAAAUUUAUAUAUAGUACCGAGUCCAGACCUAAUAAAUUUAUUAGAUUGAAUGGGUUCCAUUAAAUAUGUCAUAUUUUUGGGCUAAUAUAGAUUUGAACUUGGUCAAACUCUCUAACAUUACAUGGAAUGAAUAUUGUGAGAUAUGUUGCAAUGAAACCAAAAAACCAAGAUGGAAAGAUUUUACUAAUGAAAAAUCAGACUUGUGGGAAAUCAAAGAGUAUAGUUUUCUGAAGCUUUUGAGUUCAAGUACAAAUGUCGAUUCAAAAGCUGCAUAAGGUACUGAAACUCUUGUGUGAAUAAAGUUGGCUCAGUCAUGCAACAAAACUCUCAUUUGAGUUCUGUGAUGUUGACUCAUCACUGAUUAGUCAUCUGCCAUCUUAAACUUUGCCUUAAAAUGCUCACCACUCAAAUUUAUGCAACCAUGUAAGAUAAUAGUGAAUAAUAAUUAAGGGAUAAUUGCCUAUAUACUCCUCAAAAAUUUUGAAAUAUUUUAUGUACCAUUUUUUUUUUUUGGUUACAAAUAUAUCCUUAGUAUAUUUCGCCGUUAUUUAAAAAUAACUCCCCUGUUAGUAUCCGUUAAAUUAUCUCGAGUUAAAUCUGAAUUAAAUUUCUACCCGAGUUAAAAGAAAGUCAAAAUAGUUCUCGCCUCUAAAGGCAAGAAAAGUUGGUUGCGGUAGAAUGAUAUAUUUGAAAAGGCAAAAAGUCAAAACACUUCUUUUACUCCUAAUUUAAGAGCAAAUAAGAAAAGUUGGUGAUAUUAGAAGCAUAUAUCUGAAAGGGGCAAUUUCACCUGCUGUUCCUAACUCUACAAAUAUAUUUUAAAAAAUUUGAAACGUUAAAAAUAUAUAUUCUUUAUAUUAGCCUUCUAAAUGGGUAAAUAAGAAAGUCUGAAACUUCUCAUAUAUAAGUAAUUGCCCCAAUAAUUAACUACUUGUGAUUUGUGAAAGGUUGUUGUUCACUGACAAUUUUUUUUAAUAAUAAAAUAGGUAAAUUAUGAUAAUAAAUUAUUAUACUAUAAUUAAAUAUUUUUAUAUAAUAUAUUUUAAUAAAUUUUUAUUUAUUAUUAUUUUUCAACUCUUUUUGUAGUAUCCCUGGUGUUCAGCUUUUGAGACUUGUCGACACGCCGUGAGGGUGUCGGGACAAGUCCGAGUCUCAUUGGCGCGAAAUAGACGCAGAACAGACUCAGCGGGGACGCGAGAGCAGGAGUUAGCAUUGAAAUCUACGAAAUUGCAGAUUUUCUACUUGUUGUACCGGUACAACAUCAGGGUUGUACCGGUACACUUUCUGUACCGGUACAGCAUCGGAGGUGUACCGGUACACUUCGCCCGAUUGGCGAGCAGCUGCUCUUGGGUUGCCCAUUUGUACUGGUACAAUCAUGCGUGUACCGGUACACUUUGGUAGGUGAGAGGGUAAUUCAGUCUUUUUUCACCUCGUUUGUAUCACCAACCCUUCUCCCUCUCUAUAUAUGAUUGAGAGAACAGAGAGGAGAGGAUUUUUACUCUCUCUCUCUCUUCUUCUUGUGCUGGACGUGAGUAGUGGAGGAGCUUGGGUGGAGUUCGGGUGUCGUCGACGUCGCGCCCCGGUGCCGUUCGAGCGGAUAUUCGUCGUCGUGGUGCUACGAGGAGGCCGGACGAGCGUGAAUUUUCGCCGUUCUCAACGUCACACCGGUGCUAGAGUCGCCGUCGAGGUGGGUAUCUAACAUUCCUCCAUUUAUGGCCUGACCUCUCUACUUCAAGCUCACGUGCUGAUUUUUACUGAAUUCCAGCGUCGACCGUCGGCGUUUCGGCUCGUGCGCGACGUAGGAGUGUCGGAUUGCGACAAAACUUAGUUCGUUGGAUUUAAGACUUCGAGAGGAAUCCACGAAGCCUAAGAUUGCUGAAUUUGGUGAAGGUUAGCUUGAUUGAACUUCUAUUUUACUCUACUGUUGUUGUAUUUGGACAGAAUUGACGGAUUUCGAUGUGUAGAGCUUGGAGAUAGCUCGAUUACUGGACUUGGAGGAUUUCAGUUGAUCCAGCAGGGAUUAUUAUUGGUUCAAAACUCCCUUCGCUGCCAGGAGUUAACAUUUGAGGUGGGUUUUCAUCGGAUUUACUCUUAAGUAGAGAUUAGUAAAAUGUAUAUUUUCCGAUUGUUUAUACUUUAUACUAUCUUAAAUUCAUUGAGUAGCAUAUUGGCUGAAGUUUGAAUUUGAAGCAUGUUUUUGAAUCUAGUUAAACUAUACAUGUUGGAUUUGAAAAUUGAAUUUGGAGAAAACGGGCGAUUUGGACCUGUCACCUGUUUACACUAUCUGAUUUAACUCUAAGAGCCGUUGUAAAUCUGUAUCAUCGCAGUAUUGGUGUGAUGGAUACCCCAGAUAGUUUAGAGUUCAGUUACGCUCAUGCUUGGAUGCCUAGCGUAGUUUUACAGUAGCGUUCAGACUGUUCCAAACUAUUGGGUGCGGUCGGGGUUGACGGUGGACCCAUAUCGCCAUUUUGGCGUCGGAUUGUGCCGAGGGCACGUGACCUGUUGGUUGUUAGACCAGUUAGAGUCAGUUACUUGACUUAGGCUUGUGAGAGCCGGAUUUAGCUUGACAAAGAUACGCUGCAUACUCGGUUGGGUAGCUCCCACGAGUGCCACUCCGGAGACGGGCACUGUGCUUUCCCGUUGGUGUCGUUCAUGCCGAUUGGACUUGCUCUCCACGGACUAGUUAGUGUGGAGGUAGGUCCCAACUGGGCGGGACGGGUGUAUUCACAGUCCCUGGGACGGGUAUGUUUACAGUCCCUAAAGAGAUUGGGUCGGGAUUGACAUCACUACAAUAGGUUAGUUUCGAGCAUGAUAGUGUAAUAACUUGUAACUGUAGAUUUUAUUCCAACAAUUAUUAUUAUCUUUGCUCCUUUCUAUAGACUUAGUGGGUGGACCAAUGAUGUUGAGGGCCGCACCCACUGAGGACUACUUAUUUUUACAGUAGUUUUCACAACCUAUUGUUACCCCGUUUUUGCAGAGCCAUCGUUUUCGGCUGCUGCUGUUGCUGAUCAGGAUCGAGCUCAGCAUCGAAGCAAGAGUGUCGCGAGUUAGAGCCCUACCAGACGAGCCGAGCUAGAGGUGCCCCUACAGCAGGUAGUUGUUUCUAAUUGGAGUUCAUGUACAUUCAGAUGUUUAACUCGCCAGUGCGAGUAGUUUGGUAUCUUGGAUUUGACGUAUGUAUAUGAAACUCAGUUUGUUUUUAAUUACUGGUUCUUCUGGCAGCUCUAUACUACCGUUUGUAGUAUUGUAUGUUUUACAUGUACAACUAUCGCUUCGUAUACAGAAAAAAUUUCAUUGUAUACGGCGGAUUUGUCAACGUGCCCGGGGAACAUGUAAUCCGGGGCGUGACACUUUUUAAAAAAUUAUUCAAUCUAAUCACGUGAUAAAAUUAUUGUAUAUAUUAGAAUAAUAAUCCAAACUUAAUUAAAAUAUAGUUAGAGAUAAGUUUAAAUUUAUUAUCUGAUUAUGAUCAGAAUUUGUUGUUAUCCAAAGUAAAAGUUCGAUUUAUCAUCUGUUAUGACUUGAUAGCUAUAUAUAGUUAGGCAUGAGUUAAUUAGAUAAAUAAGUUACAGUAAACAUGGCUACAUGGGUGUUACUCAGAAUAUAAUUAUUUUUUAUUAAUAAAAUAUUAGUUUAGUUUUUUUCUUCCUUCCCUAAUAUUUUUUCUUCAUAUUAUUUUGUUCUAUUUUAGAACAUGUGUUACAUAAUCGGUACUAAAGAAAAUUACGCUUCCGACAGUAUACACUGAAUAUAGGCUGCAUUAUUUUUUAAAACUCGGUAUAAAAAUUUUAUUUUUGAAAUUUAAUUUGUUAAAUGCGAUCUAUAUAUAAUUUUUAAAAGGACUAUAUAACAUAAGUUAUUAAUUACUUGGUUUAAUCCAAACUAAAUUUAUUACAGUGGAUUAUUAAUAGGUAAAACAUAAAUCUAACUUAUAAUUAUGUAUGAAUAAGAUACAUCGGGUCCAAGGCUCCAAGCACCAAUCUCUCUAGCUCCUCAUCAACUUUUUAUUUUGGAUUAAUUUCACACGAAUCCCUACAAAUAUAGUAAAUUAUACAUAUAUUACCACAAAGUUCAAAUUUUAUAUAUUAAUUUUAUAAAAAUUCUAAUAUUUUAAAAUAUAUCUCUCUGCUUUGUUAUUGUUAAAACAUAUUUAUUUUAUAAGUGAAAUGACCUUUUUGGCAUCUCCCAACUAUUAAUUAAAGAGGGAUAAAAAAAUUCAAUCCACUUAAUUGACUAACUAAAUAAUUAUAAUAAUUAUACUUAAUUAACUAACCCUAGAUAAAAUAUUUUUUUAAUAAUUAUAAUGGGACGGUGAAUCUAAGAGGAAUAAUUUGAUUGAUUGAUGAUGUUAAAUCAGCAAUAUAUCCGAUGCAUUUUAUUUUUAUUUUUUUCCAAACGGGGGAGAGCGAUGAGUGUACCGUAAAGGGCGAAAACUUCUGCAGAAACAUUCUUCUAUUUAGUUAGAGCAAAUUAAAUGCCGAUGCAAAUUUAUUUAUUUAAUAUUAACUUGAAAUCAAAAUUAAAAAAAUCAAGACUCCCUUAAUAUAUGUAAAACUAAAAAUUAAAUAGCAUUUAUUUGCGAAAUUAAAAAUUAACAAAAAUCUAUUAUCUUCUUCUUAUACGCAUAUCUUACAUGCCUAAUUCUCCAUUAAAUAGCAUUUAUUUGCGAAAGGACCCGUGGUUUUCAUGUACAAUUUCCAGUGCCACAGCAAUUUAAUUAAGUAGCCUGUUACAUUGAUUUUAACAAUUAAUUUUAUUUUCUAGGAACAAAAUUAACUAGUCUCUUUAUAUGUAUUAGGAUAGAGUAGGUGGACCCAAAAAACAUAGGCCCCCUUAAUAUCAGUGCUCAUCUCAAAAGCUACUUGAUCAAUUUCAAAACUCUGCACAUGAAAACCAACAGCUCAUGACAACUCUGCAUUUUAUCCCUGAAAACAGAACAGUAAUUAUAAGUAUUAAAUAUAAAAAUAUAUAAAAUAUCGUUCUCUAACGGCUUAAGCUUUUAGAGUACAGCGAUUGUUUCACAUAGUAUCAGGGUAGGAGGUUCUGAGUUCAAUUCACGUUACUCUCCUAUCAUUAUUAAUUUUCUCCCAUUUAAUUCAAGUCUACAUCAUAUAACUUGCAAAAAAGUCUCGUCCCCAGAUGUAAGGGAGAGUGUUAAAUAUACAAAUACAUAAAACACUGAAAAAUUAGAAUAUUUGAAGACAUUAAAAGGGGAAAACUCCGGUGGUCCCGCGAUCCCAAUUUUCGGAAAAUGAUAAAUGAUACUGGCCAAGUCACACCGCACUAUCAGUACGACGAAUCGAGAAAACUACAUAUUUUUUUAGCCGAUCUCAAGCAAUUAUUGGCGCGAUAGGCAGAUUCUCACUCAAGCGCGAGAUCGGUCCUCCUAAAACCAUGAUCACAACCACCCACAACUUGGCAAAUUAAAUUUUAUCAACCGCGAUCGAGUUAGGUUCUCACGCAACACACAAGUUGGUCCUUGUUAAGAAGAGAUUGAUACUGAUGAAAUUUAGAUGAGGAAAUUAACAAAGUUAAACAUUGUGGGGACCCUGGCACACUACAUAUACUUAAAGAGUUCACGUUGCGAAAGAAAAAUGUCUACAUGCAGAUGAACUAUCAGCUGCACGACUUUUAAAGAAAAAAAAAUAUAUCGAGGACGUACGAAUUAUGCAGUAAUAUUAUAUUUGAUAAUAACAAGUUCAAAACUACUAAUCGUGUUCUGAUAGUUUUGCAUACAUAUAUUAAUCACUUUACAUCUACGUAGCUACAAUAUUUGGUUCUACAUGUGAUCACACGAUUUCCACGUACAUGUUCCACGGGUUUCAGCAUAUUUAUAUGGAUAUGUGGAUUCCACGAUUCGUUUCAAUCUUGUCCGCUCGCGAUCGGCAUCAACGGCUAGUAGUGGUCCCAAUUUGAACCUUAAACUGUUUAAAAAAAACUUAUCAUAACUCACAGCUUGGGAGUAGGGGACCAAAGCCAAAUCCAUUAAGACCAAAAGUUUGUGACAAAAUUAAGUAGCCUCAAAUAAUAAGGUUUAUGAUAUUUUUUUUUCUUCAUUUAUUGACAUUUCAGUUUUCUUAUUUCAAUUUCACUAAUAUAGUUGAAUUAUCAAAAAAUUAUUUACAUUUUAGCUGAAAAUGUGCUUUUUUUUUUUUUGUUUAACUCUAUGUUUUACAACUGUCUUAAAGAGUUCUAAAAAUUCGAAAAAAUCAACUAUUUGCAGCUGAAUAAAAUGGGGCUGUUUUAAAAACUGUCAAUUUGAAUAAAAAUAUCAAUUUAAACGAGCAAAAUAAUUAAAUUUUACGUUAAAUUAUAUAUAUAUAUAAGAAAAAACUCUUGCGCUUGUAUCAGUGUUUUUAAUUAGUUUUUAUGUAUAAAAUAUUGUGUCAAUUAUCUCAAUAGCUCUAAAAGUUUAGAAUAAUUACCGAACUAAUAUGAGGAAUAAAUUGAAUAAAUUAUCCAAUAAACUGUUGAUUUUAUUUGGUUAAUAAUUGAUGUCCUAAAACUGUUAAUUAUGAAUAAAAUCUCAAUUUAAAUGACUUAUAUAACUUAUGUGCUAAAUUACAAAACCAAAAAAAAAAACUCUUCGGCUUUUAUGCUUGCUUUUAAUUAAUUAGUUUUUGUAUAAAAUUCUCUCUUAAUUUGAAUUGCACUUGGCCUUAUUUUUCGAGAAUAACUGUUGCCCAAAAUUUAGAAUAACUAAUAUGCAAAGAAAAAAAAUUUGAAUAAAUUAUCCAAUGAAUUGUCAAAAAAACGAAGUUCUAAACUCGGCUAAUUAAUUAACAACAAUUUAAAUCAAAAUAAAGUAUUAAUAAAAAAAAGGAAUUAAUUAAGGAGGUACCAAACAGUAAUUAAGAUCCCAAGGAGGGCAUUUUGGCAAUAGUGUGAAAGUGAGGGGGUCUCCGUGCAAAUGUUUAAUUAGGGAGGGCGAAUUGUGCGGUGGCACGUGACCGCGUCCUUUCGCAUGAAUCCCAUUGGUGGGGCGAGCAUCUUGAGAACUACGCCUGGAGCCACGUGUCCAGAUCGCAGGGCCCCAACCGUACGGACGCGUCCGAGGAUGCGGACCGGUCCCCAACCCUCGUACUGCGCGUGGGCCCCGCUCCUGCUCCCGGCUCGGGAUUGGCCCGAGCCCAAAAAAAACCACCUCAAUCGACAGCACCCUCCCCAACUAGAAAAACCAUCCCCUGCGCCCGGUGUACAACCGCAUCUCGUGCACCGCAAUUUACCCCCCCCCCCCUCAUAUAUGGUUGGGGCUACAAAGUCUUUUCCUUUUUCUUUUUUAACGCUUCCUCUUUUGUAGAAUUAUACUUAAUUUUAACUAGAAAUAUAUAGUAUAAAAAAAUAGUAUUUACUAUUUAUUUUUUAGUUUUUAAAUAUAUUUAAUUUAGCAGAAGCAUGUCAAAUAGAAUGAAUCCGAGGGCUACAAAAUUAAUUAUAAACACGAUUUUUUUUUUAUUAAUAGUAUUAUUAUAUUAGAUAAUAAUACUAUGGAAGUAAAGAAAGGCCUCAAAAAGUCAAACAAUAACCCCUAUUAAAAUUUGUUUAUAUUUUAGGUCAACUUUAAAAUUAUAGUAUUUAUAUGUAAGUACCGGUCUUUGUACUAUAGAGAUCAAAAUUGAAAGUGCACCUCUCAAAAUGCUAUAAUAAAGGCUUUAAAAAAUCAAAAUUCAAAUAAUCAAACACGUUCUAAAUUUUAGACACCUAUUUCUCGUAAAUCAAUAUAACGAUUAAAACAAUUUGAUACUUUACUAAUAGUUAGAUUUUUUUUUUUAAAAAAAAAAACCUUAUUUGAUACUAUUUUCGUUUUAUAUAUAUAGUAUCAUAAUGGAUGAUAAAUUGCUUGUAAUUCUUUUGUUUAUUCAAGAUGUUUGCUCAUCAACAAAAGAAAAAAAAAAAAAAANAUUUCUCGUAAAUCAAUAUAACGAUUAAAACAAUUUGAUACUUUACUAAUAGUUAGAUUUUUUUUUUUAAAAAAAAAAACCUUAUUUGAUACUAUUUUCGUUUUAUAUAUAUAGUAUCAUAAUGGAUGAUAAAUUGCUUGUAAUUCUUUUGUUUAUUCAAGAUGUUUGCUCAUCAACAAAAGAAAAAAAAAAAAAAACUUGAAAUUUUUUUCUCCGCUUGCAAUUAUAACAAUAAGAGGAAAGACAUUCUCGCACUAGUAUAUCUAAUAAUAUAGGAUUAGUACUCUUAAAUUUUCUCGACCUUUUAUUUUAUUUAUGUAGGUACGUAGUACGUACAUAUGGUGUAGGUGGGGUGCACGAGACGUACGUAUACUCCCGGCGUAAGGAAUCCUACGACGCGUAGCAUUAUUUCUCGAGUAAUUUAAUAGACCCCCCCAGCCCCACAUUACCCCUAUCAAUUACUUUUUCUUUUUUUUCUUUUUUUUCUUUUUUUUUCUGUGUGUGUGUGUGUGUGUGUUGUGUUUGCUCAAUUUUUUUUCUAAGUCACUACUUUCUUUUUCUCUUUACUUCAACCGGAAUGGAAUGGCUCCCUUUUUUCCCCCAUUACCCCUCGCCCUCUUCUUCUAUUUCGACGAAUAAGGAAAAAAAGGUCCCCUCUCCCUGCGCUUCCAAAUAAAGAGGGCUCUUUUUGUGGGGUGAGAACAAUAAUACCCAGUCACUGUAUCUUCUCCUCUUUUUUCUCUCUCUCUCUUUUUUCCAUAUUUGGUGAGGUUAUCUCCUGCUCCCUCUAGCUUGCAUAUAUAUAUUUGCUUCUGUACUCUAUUAUUAUUAUUAUUAUUAUUAUUAUUAUCAUCUUCGGUUUAAUUACAAUUUAGUUUUUUUUCUCUCUUCGGCGUCGGCGGCGGAAGAAAAGAAGAAGAAGAAGGAUGGUGAGGGGGAAGACGGAGAUGAAGAGAAUAGAGAACGCGACGAGCCGGCAGGUGACCUUCUCGAAGCGCCGCAACGGCCUGCUGAAGAAGGCGUUCGAGCUCUCCGUGCUCUGCGACGCCGAGGUCGCCGUCAUCGUCUUCUCCCCAAAAGGAAAGCUCUACGAAUUCGGCAGCGCCAGGUUCGGAUCUCAUUCGUUCAUUCGAUCGAUUCUACCUCCUCCUCGCUUUUUCGAUUUUUUCUUUUUUCCAAAUUUUUUUUUUUUUUCGAGAAACGUACUAAAUAAUAGAUAGAUGGAUAGAUAGAUAGAAUCAUCGUGGUGAAAUCUAGGGUUUGGGUUUUUAAAAUCUAUGGGUGUUUUCCGCUCGUUGUUUUGGGCGGCCUCGAACACCGCGAAUUAAGGAUGGUGCUCAGUGCUCACAACAGUUUGGUUGCAUGUGGAGUCUCAGAAUUCUUCGUACGGUUUCAGUUCUCAGUUCGAUCUCCGCAUCUCUUCUCUAGAAGGAUCUAGAAACAUCAUCUGGAUCUGCAGUUUUUGAUUCGUCUAACAUUUACACCUUGUUUCCUUUUUUGUUUUUUUUUUUUUUUUUUUGAACCUCCUAUUUCGGGAGAUUAUUAUUCGGCGAAAGGUACAUAAAUUGUUGGCCUUUUCCCUCUCUUCUUGCAAUUAAUCAGUCUCCUUAAUUAUUAGACAAGUUGGAGAAAUCAUAGAAUCACACAAAGGAUUAGAGAUUUAAAAGGAUUACUCUUUCGGAUUCGAUCUAGGGUUUUUAGAUAAACCUUGAGGAUAUAUGUGUAGCAAUAUUGGGAGUUAAAUGCUAAGUGGAGCUUAGUAAUCACUGCAAGAAAUGAAAUAGGCCUUAAAAAAAAGAAUUUCCUAAAGUUGAUGGUUUUGUGUGUUUCAAGUGGUGUUUAUAUUGGUGAAAGAAGUACUACUGCAUAAAGCAUUUUUCUUCUCUAUUAUUUUACUUUCCUUUCCUUUGGUAAGGUACAAGAGUACCAUUUCUACAUUCAAAAUACAUGUAUGUAUCGGAUUAGUAUGUAUGAGUUGCAUUAAAACUGAGCUCUGGAUCUUAAAAAUCUGGAGUUCUUGAAUAGCUCUUUGCGAAGGAACCAUGAAGCCAACGCAUGCGAUAUUGUCGGAAUUUGUACGUAUCGUGCAUGUAUAUGAGAUAUUAAUCACUCGUAACAUCACAGGUAAGUAAAGAAAUUUCAGUUCUUGUCCAGUAAUGAUGUUUUCUUUCAUUGCUAUAUGUAGUUGUUUAGCUUGAAUAUGAACAGUUAGUGUACAUUAACGGAAACCCAAUAAAUUUUCGUCUCAUCCGCUACCCGACGAUGUAGGGUGGUUUUAUCGGGCAGCUUCUUAAGGCAUAUGUUAGAAUUUUUGUUCCUUUGCUUUUGCAUUCUUUGUCCCUCGAAUAGUUGAUCACUGUUGUCUUCUUAAGAAAUAAGUGAUUUACAGUGGUGUCUUUCGAAUGAUGCUUGUUUGACCGAGAACAUGCAUUUUUCUACGUAAACUUGUCUGUAAGUGAUAAUUCAGCGAUACUUAGUUCCGAAAAUGACAAGAAUUCUCAGAUGUACUGUAGCUAGUUCCGUAAUCUAAUCAAGACAUAGUCUAAUCUGCUUCCUAGUUAAGAAGUAAAGCGAGGGUUGAAAAACAUAAGCUAAUAAAUGAAUGAAAAAUCCAAUUUUCGGUUAAAACUAUUAUUUCUACACUAAAUUGGUUUGUAGCUUAAUCUAUCUAGGUAGCUAACAGACGAGGAAAAGAUUCUUACAUCAGUUUAUUGGCUAAAGAAGCAUUUCAAUGAAACAAGUUUUUUGCUGUCUAUUAUAGUGGAUCUUGAGUUAAGUCCUCACUCUGUGAGCUUUCUCUACCUUCAUUUUUCACGUCUUACUUUACGUAGAGUAGUAAACAAGAUUUUUCACAUAUAAAUACUUAAGAGUUUUGUACAAAGUGAACUGAGCUUUCUGUACUGGACCCUUUCAAAAUCAUGCAUGUUCAAAUAAUGAAAUGUUUACAUACUGGAUGAAUUGCCUAUCUAUACUUUAUAAGAAUUUUAUCUGGUGCAGUGAUUUAAAUAGCGGCCGCUAUGCCCGCCAUAGCGGCCGCUAUAGUGGUUUUUAGGUGUUACCGCUACGCUAUAAUAUAUAAAGCGGUAUAUAACGCUUCGGGUUCAUAGCGGCCGCUUUAGCGGCGUAGCACCUGCUAAAGCGUCCGCUAUAAAGCGGUAGAAAAGUGGGCGCUAUGAGUCCAAACCUUUAAAAAAUACAAACGCGUUAAAAUGGCUUAUCGAGUCGGAUCUUUAAAUGAAAUAAACCCCGUUUCUACGGGUUUGGAAGAUAAAAAGGUAAUCCGUUUUUAAAAGAGAAUGAUAUAUCGUCAUCUUUUUGGUUUGCUAAAUAUUUUAAAGUUAAUCUUAAAUUCUUAAUAGAUAAUAACAUUAAAUAUAUAGGCUUGCAAUACUAAAAAAAAAAUAAUUAGUUGUCUUUUCUUCAAAAUUAUAUGUAUUUUAUAAGAGACAUGAACAUAUUAAAUUUGCUUUUAUGAAACCCGCUAUGGGUUUAUAGCGCCCGCUAUCCGCUAUUUACAACCUUGAUCUAGUAAAGUGGGUUACAUCCACUUUCAAGGCAAGAUUUUGUUGCAAAAGUUGUUUAUUGAUCUUUAGGGAUAUAUGAUUAUUGAAAUUGAAAUUCAAAAUUUACAAACUUUAUAUUUAAAUUCUAUGAUGAUAAUUCUUUUCACUCAUCUUUCCUAUUCUUUCCAAAAUUUUCAUUCAUUAAUUCUCUUGUUUGUAUACCAAUUUUCCAAUAUAUUUUCACAAAAUUUGAAUUACGUUUUGUUACCAUUUUUUAUGGGAUUGACUAAUAUUGAACCUCUCAAACGUAGUUGAUCAUUGGAAAGACGGGUUCCCCAAAUUCACCCGAAAUUGAGGAAGAUCGUAUCCUCUCUUUCAUUAUGUCAAUCGAUCAGUCAACCUCCCUAUAUUCCAAAUUCCAUCCGCUCAGUCUUGUAAUUCAAGACAUAUUGUAUAUACUUUGUUUCGACCUACCUCCUCGAAGAAGCUAGCACCAAAGAAGAACUAGCUUUAUGCUAACUAGAUGAAAACCUUCUUGGAAGUCUCGCAGGAGGAAGGGGAAGCCACUACUUUGCAGUUAUGUCUAGCAUAUCUGGUCUAGAAGCGUUGUUUUUUCUCUUCUUCUCUUAUUGUGUCUGUUCUUGGAAAAAUAUCUGUUAACUCUCCUGAAUUGAUAUUCUUAUCUACACUCGUAAAAACUGUAAAAUGAACUAAUAUCCAACAAUAAUACAUUACGUCCACUGUAUGAAGCCAGUAUGCUUGCCUUUACUAACUUUUGGAAGCAUUUUAAUAGUAUAAAUAAAAGAGACAGAUUCAUUGAUAAAAUUUAUAGCAAAUCUAAUUCCACUGCUUGGUUUGGGAGAACCUGUUAUGAUAUGAUAAGUUGGUUUCUAUGUUAUGACACAUUCAUCCACUUGGUUUGGGUGAACCUGUUAUGAUAUGAUAAGUUGGUUUCUAUGUUAUGACACAUUCAUAGUUGGUCUGAUAUAGCAAUUGUUAACAACUGCUUGGCAAGUUUUAGAUCAAAUUUAUAAACAUAGUGCUUGGACCUUCGAUAAAUUGCGAUAUCAUCUUUGAAAUUUUUUUCCUUAAGUAACUUCUUGGUCUUACACUUCUUUUUUUCUUUUUUUCUUCAAUGCCGUAGUACAUUUCCUAUCCAUUUUUUUUGUUGAUUGUUGUUGGCUAUGCAUAGCACAUAACAGUUAUCUUUUCAAAUGAUAUCUUGCUCCACUUUCACUUUAGACCGAAUUCCAUAAAAAAAAAAAAUGAACAACAUCUUUAUUUCAUUAGUCAUAUUUACAUAGAUAGAAAAUUCAUUGCCUUAGCACUACUAUUAUUUGUGUUAUAUAGAGAUUUGAAACAUCUAUAAUAUCAUCUAACGGACGAUAAACCACAACAUAAAAUUUCUUCUUGUUCUCUAUCAAAAAGUUAAGAAUAAUUCACAGUUAUCUUUGAUUAAGAAAGGUUUGUGCUUUGAAUGGGAAUAUGAAUGAUCUAGUCCGGUCUGUGCUUUGAAUUGGAAUAUGAAUGAUCUAUUCCUCUUUCAAAUGUUUGGUUGGAGCGAACCCUAUUCCGAUCUCCAUUCCAAAGAACAUCUAAUCCCACCAACGGAAUUGUUCAUUGCCAUCCUUAUUCUAUUGCAUUCUGAAUACUUUUUUAAAAAUUUAUUAUGACAGUGCAAACACAAUCCCAAACUCAUAUCUUUGAUACCUAAAUCUAAAAUAUUUUGUAUAUUUAGUUGAUUCCUAAUUGUAAGCUAGAUUUAUUAUAUAUUUAGAGUUAAACAUUGGAGAAUGAGGUAUUUGUAAAUGUGUUUAUUUUAUAAAUAGACCAUAAGCUGAAGGGUACUUGGAGAAUAUAUCUAUGAGAUAGAUUUUUGGUGGGACUUGGUGGGACUAAUUCAAGGUGGAUUUGGGAUCGCUUGAUUUUUUUUUUUCCCUCCUUCUCAUGUCUCAAUUUUGCUUUGAUGGUAAAAAUGUGCUUUGUUACUAUCUCUUAUCUUUCACUAGCUCCCACUCGUCGGCACAUAUGGCAGAUUCACCAAUUUUGAUUUUUUUUUUUUUUUUUUUGCAUCUAUAAUAUCGAGCGACAACACCAGUGGAGCAAAACUCCUUUGACUAGUGGCAGCAAUGUUUCCUUACUAGGAAACAACAUGAAAACUUUGAUGUACUGAGCUAAAAAAGUUGAUGUGAAUAGAAAGAUAUCUAUAGAUGCUGCAGUACGAGUUGUAAGAAGCUCUACUUGUUAAGGAAACGGAGCUUAACUCAAAUGAAGAGUGUUCUAACAAAAUAAAAAAAAAAUGAAGAUUUGAUCUAAUUUGUUCUUCAUUUGAUUUGAAUAGUAAUUUUCUAUCUGAUCCCAAAUUAGUGUCAUAAUUAAAUACAGUUGUCAUUUCACAAUUGAUAAAUUGCUCAAAUUGCAUAAACAUGCCAUAUAUCCUUUUGUUAAAAGAAAGCUUUGAAUAUUUUAGACGACUCUGGAAUAUUAUGAAAACUUAAAAGAGUAUUUAUUUAUACAUUCUUAUGUGAAUAAUUUAGAUUUCUAGAAUUUGCAAAUGGAGGUCUUCUUUCUCCUGACCAGGCUUAUUUUUCCUUGAUUCGAGGUCCAUUUUUUGAGUUUUACCUGCUAUUGUCAACUUUUUUCAUUUUCUUCUCUAGCCAAAUGCCUUCUAUUUUAUCUUUCCGGAGCUACCAUCUAAUUUUCUCCAUGUGUGUAUCAAAAUUCUUCUUUCAAAAUGAAUAGUAACAAAUUCUAUGAAAUUGCUUAUUCUUUCAUGCUGUUGGAGUUCUUGAACUUUUUUAUUCGAACUUUGGUCAGGAUUAGCCAUUUUGAGGUCAUACACUAGUUGUGAGGCAUUUGCCAUGAAAACCCCAAAAUGAUCACUUGGGUUUUUAUGAAACCCCUACAGAUACAAAAGAGAAUACAAAAUAUAUAUCUAAGAAAAGAUUGAUGAACCUCAGAUAAGAAUUGCAACUUCUCUUUUUGCAUUUAAUAGCUCCAACCCUAAUUCUUUUCUUUUUCUUGUAAAUCUCUCUCAUUCUCUCUAGAUCUCAAAAUAUGCCAGCACUUGCAUCAUUUUCCAAGGGUAGCAUCACUUUUUGCCCCUUGAACCACACUAAGUGCCUUAUAAAAUAAGUUAAAGGUACCAUUACUUGAAAUUAGACUUGUUCGAAGUGUAAAGUAAAAGUCCAAGUUGUUGUCUGCUAUUUUCUUUAGAAGAACCAUAGCAAUUAAGUUGUGGUACAGCUAGCCAAAUUACAACUCUACAAGGAUUGCCAUGUGAGAUGGCACCGCCUGGCAUGGCUGGUAUAUGUUGCCUGUGCUACCUAUGCUGACCUAUAAAUUAGGAUGUGUGCCAAGACAUGCCUGCAUGCCGCGCCAUGCUGAUGGCCAUUAACACAACCUGUGUAGCAUGAUAAUCUUUGAUACUUUGUAAUUGCAUACCAAAAACUCUAUUUAUGCUACCAAAAGAAGUCACAUCAUUACUAAUUUUAAAGAAUACAUGCAAUUUUUAUAAACAGUAUCUAUGAAGAAUAUAGAAUGUAGUAGUAAUAAGGGAGUUUAUAUUUAGGUCUCUUACUUAUAAGACAAUUCUUAAAGGUCACUAAGUUUUGGUCUUUCAAAUAAGCUCCUAAAUUGUAAGAAUUUUCUCUUAUAAAAGUCCUUGUUGAUCAUCUUUUUAGUACAACUUUAGUCAUUGAACUUGACACAUUUAUAAGGUUUAGAAGGGUAGAGUGCCAUGUGAGGGAAAAAUUCUAAAGUAUGGAAGUGACACCAUAUUGUCUAUGUCUCCAAUUAAUUAAAUUUGCCCCCGAGGUUUACCUGUUCCAUCAUGAUUUUUUUGAAUUUUUUUUUAAAAAAAGUUAAUACUUUUCUCUCAAUAGAAGGGAUUUAAUUGGUUUGAAACACAAUGACGUGGUGCCAUUGCCACAUAGAAGACCACCUCCUCAUGUGAGGAGAGGGUGUUUUUUGUUUUUUGCUGAGAAAUAGGUUAACCUAGUGUAUCAAGAGAAUAGGGUUAAUUUCUUCUGUGCCCUCCCAGAAUGUUAUAAUUUUAUAAAUGCUCCUCUAAAUUGGGAGAUAUCAUGAGUGCCCUUGUAUGCAUAAGAGAGCUGGGUAUUGAUAAUAGAAGAUUUAGGGUUUAGGGUAUUAGUGAUAGUUCUAUUUGUUAAGAGGGGGACUGGUGAUAAAUUUGUAUGUUUAGAGGGAUAUUGGUGAUAUUUCUAACUUUGAAAGGGCAUCUAUGUUAUUUUGAAGUUUUAGAGGGGUAGGUUUGAAAUUGUUGCAAAGUGAAAAUAGGGAAGUAUGUAGAAAAACAAAGUGUACAUAAUAGAUAUGUACAACAUACCAUAAUUGCAAGGUCAACAAUAAAAAGAAACGUAGCCCAGCUAAACUAAUAUGUGCAACUAUCUUAAAAAAGUACAUGUACAUGCAGGCCAAAGUUGACAACACUUUCAAAAAUUCAAAAACAAAUUCAAAAUUCAAAUCACUUAACCCACCAAAAGAAGGUAGAUUCGCCACUCCUUGGAGAAUCAAAUUUGACCUAAAAAUUGCAAACAAUAACCUACAAUCACCAGAAAAAGUCGAUACUAGCAAAUCAUCAUUGGGAAGAAAGACUAAUAUGAGAGGGGAUCAUCCGGGAAGAUAAACCUGCAAGCUCUUGAGAUUUGGUGAAAGCUAUUCUGGGGAUCAUCCGAGGAUCGAUAGGGGCUUUGGUCAGAGUGUGGUAGCUGAGGAUAAGAAAGGACUAUAGGGCAAGAGACAAGAAAUAAAAGGACUCUAAUAAAAAUAGAAAAGGCAGGAAGGGAAGAAGAAAGGUAGGAUGGAUGUACUAAAGGAAAAAAGGCAAGAUCGAAGGAAAUAAGAAGAACGGGAACCAAGGGAAAAGGAUCAUGAAUAGGAGAAAGAUGAGGAGGAGGAGAAGGACGAGGAGGAGGAGGACCAAAAGAGAGCGAUGGAGCACCGACACUGGAAAGUGGGAGACAGGGUUGGUAAGGAAAAACAACAACAUAUGAAAAGAACAUAGUGUGGAUCAUAAGCGCUAAACUACCAUUUCAAAAGCAUGUGCUGGUAGAAAGGGUGCACCAAUCGCAUCUACGGGCUCAACCACAGUACUCACGGGCCUCGACCUAACAAAACUUAUUUAUUGUUGGGUCUCUUGCCAUUAGAUCUAUUGUGGAGCAUAUCCCCACUCAACUUAUGAGACUCAACCCGACUCGACUUAUUAGUCUCCCAAGCUUAUUGUUAGGAGGUAGGAAUUUGACUUAUUUCAACGAACACACCCUAACCCCUCAACCCCCUUCCCCUUCCGCAACCAUCACCACCUACACUAUUAAAGCAACAUGUAAGAAUCAAACAUGUGUCAUUAGCUUGGAUACCACUUGUUGAUCGUAAGUGCUAACUAAUAAUUCUAAAAGCGCAUGAUGAUAGGAACGCACCCAUCGUAUUUAAGGGCUCAGCCAUAGUACUCACGGAUUUUGAUCUAACUCAAGUCACCUAAACGUUGGGUCUAUUGUUGGGUCUCUGACCAUUAGGUCUAUUGUGGACCGUAACGCCACUCAACUUGUUGGGCUCAAUCUAACUAAACUUAUUAAUCUUUUGGGUCUAUAGUUAUGGGCAGAAAGUUGGACUUAUUUUAAUCAAUACAUAGAAGGAAAGCUAUACCCAGCUGUUGGCAGAGAAAAUGUAAAGGAAGGGGUGGCAGGAAAAGAGAAAGAGAAGGGAGGAAAGGAGACGAAAGGCCAAGAAUAGCUAAGAAUGUGAGGGGGGAGCAUGAGCACUAGGAAUCUCGCCCUGCAUCCCACUGAACUGGCGAAGCUUUGCAAGGUGAUCUAGGCUAAGGCAUUCGAAGGCAUAUCAUAGGCUCGCGACAAGCGACAAUGCGAUGACUUAUGACUAGGCAAUUAAAAUACCUAUUACGGGUGGAGAGAAUGAANUAACCCACCAAAAGAAGGUAGAUUCGCCACUCCUUGGAGAAUCAAAUUUGACCUAAAAAUUGCAAACAAUAACCUACAAUCACCAGAAAAAGUCGUUACUAGCAAAUCAUCAUUGGGAAGAAAGACUAAUAUGAGAGGGGAUCAUCCGGGAAGAUAAAAUCGCAAGCUCUUGAGAUUUGGUGAAAGCUAUUCUGGGGAUCAUCCGAGGAUCGAUAGGGGCUUUGGUCAGAGUGAGGCAGCUGAGGAUAAGAAAGGACUAAUAGGGCAAGAGACAAGAAAUAAAAGGACUCUAAUAAAAAUAGAAAAGGCAGGAAGGGAAGAAGAAAGGUAGGAUGGAGGUACUAAAGGAAAAAAGGCAAGAUCGAAGGAAAUAAGAGGAACGGGAACCAAGGGAAAAGGAUCAUGAAUAGGAGGAAGAUGAGGAGGAGGAGAAGGACGAGGAGGAGGAGGACCAAAAGAGAGCGAUGGGGCACCGACACUGGAAAGUGGGAGAUAGGGUUGGUAAGGAAAAACAACAACAUAUGAAAAGAAAAUAGUGUGGAUCAUAAGCGCUAAACUACUAUUUCAAAAGCAUGUGUUGGUAGAAAGGGUGCACCAAUCGCAUCUACAGGCUCAACCACAGUACUCACGGGCUUCGACCUAACAAAACUUAUUUAUUGUUGGGUCUCUUGCCAUUAGAUCUAUUGUGGAGCAUAUCCCCACUCAACUUAUGAGGCUCAACCCGACUCGACUAAUUAGUCUCCUAGGCUUAUUGUUAGGAGGUAGGAAUUUGACUUAUUUCAACCAACACACCCUAACCCCUCAACCCCCUUCCCUUUCCGCAACCAUCACCACAUGCACUAUUAAAGCAGCAUGUAAGAAUCAAACAUGUGUCAUUAGCUUGGAUACCACUUGUUGAUCGUAAGUGCUAACUAAUAAUUCUAAAUGCACAUGAUGAUAGGAAUGUACCCAUCGUAUUUAAGGGCUCAGCCACAGUGCUCACGGAUUUUGACCUAACUCAAGUCACCUGAACGUUGGGUCUAUUGUUGGGUCUCUGACCUUUAGGUCUAUUGUGGACCGUAACCCCACUCAACUUGUUGGGCUCAAUCUAAUUCAACUUGUUGGGUUCAAUCUAACUCAACAUAUUAAUCUUUUGGGUCUAUAGUUAUGGGCAAAAAGUUAGACUUAUUUUAAUCAAUACAUAGAAGGAAAGCUAUACCCAGCUAUUGGCAGAGAAAAUGUAAAGGGUUGGUAGGAAAAGAGAAAGAGAAGGGAGGAAAGGAGAUGAAAGGCCAAGAAUAGCUGAGAAGGUGAGGGGGGAGCAUGAGCACCAGGAAUUAAUCUCACCCUGCAUCCUACUGAACUGGCGAAGCUUUGCAAGGUGACCUAGGCUAAGGCAUUCGAAGGCAUCUCUUAGGCUCGCGACAAGCGACAAUGCGAUGACUUAUGACUAGGCAAUUAAAAUACCUAUUAUGGGUGAACAGAAUAAAAGGAGGUAAGUCAAGAUCGCAAUUCAAAGAAGGCAAGGGGCACAACACGAAGGUAUGAGGACCCCUCCAACUAUAUUGGCAAAGCUGCGGGGGUAGUGUCCAACGAGAAGUGCCCGGGCCCAGUAUCGAAGCUUCCUCUUCCUUUCUCUCUCUCUCUCUCUCUCUCUCUCUGAGGUAAAAUUUUAAUAAAGGCGUGUACUUAUAUCAUUUAUACAAGUAAUAAAAGGAUACAAGUUAAAAUUGUUAACGGAACAUUUGAUUCCUCAUAAAUAUGCUCACAGGGGACUUCUAUGAAAGAAGAACUGAAAACCCAGGGACUUAUAUAAAAGGAUGAAAAGAUAAGAACUUGUUUGGCCUGCAUAUUGAUUACCUCUAGUACUACAUGAUGUCAUUUGAAUAAAUAGCAUCUUCAGACAUUAGAAAAUUGAUAGGUUAUAUGAAGGAUACUACUGAAAAGUUCUUGUAGCACUUGUUUUAUUUUUGGGAAUAUGUUGCCCAACUUUGUGCUGAACAAAGUAGGAUUAACCAAUCCCCCCAUUAGGAAUUUGUGAAUAAAGGGCUAGUUGUUGUCUUUGCUAUUGAAGAAGAAAAGACCUAAUUAGAUAACAUAAAAGAAAGUUCUUUGACUACUAAUAUUUAAUAGUAGAAAGUAUUUUUCUAAAUCAUUUGAGGUGUACAAUCUUGAAUUUAACAUGUUUCUGCUGUGCUUUUGAUUAUUCAGCAUGCAGAAAACGAUCGACCGCUAUAGAACAUACUCAAAAAACGAUUGUGAUAAGGGAGCAGUAGAGCAAAAUAUACAGGUAUGAUUGCUGGCUCUGCACUUCUCACAUUUCCAAUAUCAGUCAGAUUUACAUUAUUUUCUACUAUAAUAGUUGUCUCUAACUUCUUUUGUAAAGAAUUCAACACGACUGAACAUUAGGGUUCAAAAUCCAGAUCAAUGAGUGAAAAACAUCAUUUAUAUUACAAAUAUUGAAGAACUAAGACCUUCUUCAUUGGAUGAAUCUGCUUGUCAUUUGACGUUCAAAUUAUGAGUUUUCGAACUUACCAGUUAACAUUGAUCUAAAUUUUGCUGAGGGUGAGUGAUUAAUAAUUUGGAAAGAAAUCCAAGAUCCCCUCCAGUACUCAGGUCCAAUUGCAAAUUGCCAUCCAGAUAUAUGAAGUUAAAAUUCCCUAAGGAAUGAUUAAUCAUUUCAAUCUACCAUCAAACCUGAAUUUUCAUCAAGUUCUCCAACCAUCAUCGGCACAUGACUCUCGUUUGAUAGGGAUAAAAUAUGCUAGAUCCCUUGAACUUUACGUAGGUUAUAGAUCAUCAUCCAAAUCUUAUACUUUUAAUGCUAUUAGAAAGCCUUAAAAAAAAAAAUUUCUUUAUUGGAUAGUCAUGUGCUGAUGACAGCUGAAAAAUAUUAAUGGAAACGAGGGCUGGAUGGUUAAUGAAAACAAAUUGAUUCCUCACAUUUUUUUAACAAAAAUCAAAAUUCAUGCUUUGACGUUAAUUCUAGAGCUGGUGUCCAAUCAAGCCUAAGUUCGAGAGGUGCGGAGUGGGUCCUAAGCAUUUUCCCUUAAUAUUUUCUCGUGUGUUUAAUUUGAGCACCUGGAGAACUUGGAUGGAUCAGAUCAGAGGAAUUCAUUAAAAAACUCCAGAUGACAAGCACUAUUAUUCUAUUAAUAGAAUUCCUAUGAUGUAUCUCUGAAGUUUGAAGUGCAGCUAACGAAUUUCAUCGGUUGUUCUCAAUAGUAAGCAUGAAUGAAGAACAUAUGCAUAUAUAUUGAGAAGGCCUAAUUCAUCCAGGUUUCAACAGUUCAAUUGUGAAUUGACAAUGUAAAUCAUUCAUUAUAUCUCGUUAUGUCAGUAUGUCUUGUGCUAAAUUUUUUCUGAAAAGUGAAUUGGCUCUCUGCAGCAAUUGAAGUUUCAAAUUACAAUCAUGUCGAAGAAGCUUGAAUCUCUUGAAGCCUCCAAAAAGUAAGAAUGUUACUCGACAGCCUUCUUUUAUCGUGAAUUAAUAGCUCUUGGACUCUAUCAAUUGAUUCAUUGAGUUGUUAAACGUAAAUUGAUAAUCUUUCAUUUUUCUCUUCUACUCUUCUUAUUGCACUGUUCAAACAUUUGCAAAUAAAAUUACAUUAUGAGAGCUUGGUAUCUCUAAUCUCGGCAAAAAUGACUAUUGUUGCUGCAGGAAGCUUCUAGGUGAAAAUUUAGAUUCGUGUUGUGUUGAAGAGCUGCAUGAAUUGGAAAGUACCAUCGAGAAGAGCCUGCAUAGAAUCAGAGGAAGAAAGGUAAAGAUGUGAGCUUAAAUAGCACUCGAGCCAUCACGAGAUUGGCAUUAAUUUUGGUUUUGUUUUAUGUUACAUGAAACUACAGAUAAAGUUCCUGGAAGAGCAGAUUGCACAGCUUAAAGAGAAGGUAUCCUUAUAAUUUCUUCUCUGUCAUAAAUCGAAGGGACGGGUAACAUAAUUGAUUAUUACAUGUAAUAAGUUCUUUCGAUUUCAUUUUGUAUCUAAAGCAGGAGAAAAUGUUGCAAAAGAAGAAUGAAGCAUUACGCGAACAGGUAUAACAUCUCAGCAUGAAUGAAUAUUCAUUAUUAAUUUUCCGCCUACCUUCUACAAGGGAAACCAAGAUUACUUGACAAACUGAAGCAUAUUCAGUUUGACGAAAUGUACACCACUAUGUCAUGAAAAGCAAAACUAGGUUAUGUCGACAACUAAUUUGAUCUUUUAAUCUAUAUCAAGUGCAUGUUUCAGAAUCAGGUACCGUUAGCUACACUCAGGGAUGUUGCCCCACACAGAGACGCCGCGAAUCACCCUAUGGACGUGGAGACCGAGCUGUGUAUAGGAUGGCCGAGAACGCGAGAGGAGCCAUGAAAGACUGCGAGACUAGGUCACAAAUACCACAUUCACCAAUGCUUCAAGAAAAAAAAAAAACAACAAAAUAUUGUUACAGACCGGUGCUGAAUAAUCAGCCAGGGUAAUUCGCUAAGUUAUGCUGUUGUGUAGCCUAAUUAAUUGUGGCAGAGGAAAUGAAUAACAAUAAUGUUGUAUAUGCUUACAUAUUCUUAGAAGAUGCAUGUCUUCGUUCCGCCGAAUCGAGCCUGUAGCAGUUUAAUUCUCAUCAAAGCACUUUAAUUCUAAUUUAUCUCUCUACAACUAUUCUUUUUUCUUUUUCUUUUUUAAAUGUCAAUUUAGAUAAGCAAAUGUCCCAUCUAUACCUGAUGUUUGCUCAGCCCCAGGAUGUCAUAGCCUUUUCAUUCUUGAAAGUGCAGAAGCUGAAUCCUGUUUCCUAGGUUUUCGCUGGUAACUUUUCUUUCCACCUCUUUUUUUGUUUUGUUUUUUGUUUUUUUUUUUCUAAUCGUAUUUACUUAUACUAUUACAAAGUAAUUUCUUGGUGAUCCUAAGAGGUAUUGUCUCCUUACAUGCAUGCAUACGUACGUACUACGUAUACAUUCAUACCUAUGGACGUGCAUGCAUGUGCACUUACACUUAUAUUACAUGCAUGCAUGCACGCAUAUAUAUACAUACGUGCAUACAUGCACACCCUUUCCUCAUCCUCUUGCAUGUUUAGUAUUCUUAUCAUUAUCAGAAUGAUGCAGUGCUUUAGCCUGUGGGCUCGAUCAUAUCAAAUUCAAUUGGAAAUUCUACACUGGCCGUAUGCAAACUUUGACAUUGGGUGAGAGCCAUGUGAGGUGAAAGUCGCAAGCUUCGACGGUUACGCGACCGUAACGGAGCUUGGCGACUCCUCAAAUGGUCUGUACAAAGCACAGAUGCACCACAAUGUUCGCGGGAAGCGGCUUCGUAGAUAGGGACUAUAUAUGGCAGUUGCAAUCCACGAGCACAAGCGCACGGCUAAAGUUGUGCCUCACAGGCCAUAAUCAAAUCGGUCGAAGCUCCAAUUUCUUGGCAAAUGCUCGAAAAUAGGACUUUGAGUGAGAUCGUGAGUCCGACUCCCGAGCUCCAAUUUCUGGGCAAAUGCUCGAAAAUAGGACUUUGAGUGAGAUCGUGAGUCCGACUCCCGAGUUUGAGCUCGAGAUAACAAAACUAGCACUGCUCAGUGUUUCUGUUUUAAGCACCUGCUCCGUUUAGACGUAAACUCCAAUUAAACAAAAAUAUGCAAGUUUUUCUAUAAUUGAACAAAAAUAUGAAUUAAAUUGUAAAUUUAAUAUAUAAAGUAAAAGUCUAAUUUGAUAGCACCAAAGGCUCGGUGCUAUUAAUAGUAUAGUAACCAGACUCUAUCUUUUUUACUCUGAAAUUAUCAAAAUUAGCUCUGAAAAUAUUAAUUCUCCUAUUUAUAUACCUAUCUAAUGUAUAAAUGUAUCUAAUCUUAUUUAAAAUAGUUAUCAUCACAACUAAAUUUAAAUUUUAUAAUUAAAUAAAAUUUUAAAAAUAUUUGUGUGCGGCAUGGAAUUGCGGAAUCCUAGGAAGAUGGGGUGCACGUGGACCUGCGUGUGGACCGGGUGCAGCCAAUAUUUUUUUCACUGCGGCAAUGGAUACUCCCAAGUCUUUGGAUUUUCACUAACAAUACAUUAUAAGCUAUUAUAAUUAAUACAAUUGUAAAAUAAUACAGCGGUUAUAAUUAAUACAAUUGUAAAAUAAUACAGCGGUUCACAUUACGUGUAUAAAUUAGUUAAAAAUUUAUCAGUCGAGGAAAAAUAAAUUAUAAGCAACAUUUGUAUAUCAUACACUACAUAUUAGUAAUAAAGCACAAAUUUUAACUACAAUUAGGGCGUGUUUGGUUUGCUUCUUUUUCACCCUGGAAUCGGAAUUGGAAUGGGUGAAUCCGUUUGUGGGUGUUUGGUACGCAGGAGUUCCAUUCCGAUUCCGAUUCCCGAGUGGAAUGGAAAUCCCUCAAUCACCUUUUUUUUUCAAUCCGGCCUAGGCCGGAUUGGAAGUUGAAUCCAGACGGAAUGGAUAUUUAUUCGAAUUAAAUUUAUUUUUUCAACUUUUUUAAUUAAAAUAUGAGUUAAAUUUUAAAAAUUAAAUAUAUAAUUUUAAAUUUUAAUUUGAACUUAAAUUAAAAAUUAAAAUUUAAUCAAGUAUUUNAUAAAUUAUAAGCAACAUUUUUAUAUCAUAUAUUUAUCGACUAUUAUUUUUAUCAUAUAUUUCAUUCUUACUAUUUACAAUGUAUACAAUAAUUUUUGUAUAAGAAUUAAGAACUACCUUUCUAAAUUAAAAGUGUACGUUUAUGAUUGACGAAAAAAGAAGAUGAACUAGAUGCAAGUAAUAUUAUGUCUUUAUCUAUAAUAAAGACUAAAAUAAUAUUAUUGUUAAAAAUUAAGUUAUGGAUAUUGAAAUCAUAAGUCUAAGGAUCAAAAUGAAACAUGACUAAAAAUUCAGAAAAUAGAAUUGCAAUUUAAUUAUCCUUUUAUAACCAAUUAACAUAUUUGUAAAAUUAUGAAAAAUAUUAUCAGUACAUCCACACAGGAUUGUAAAUUUUACAUCCUUACAUCCAAAGAUUUAAAAAACCUUUUUAAUUUUUCAAUUAAAAAAAUGAUUAAACAAGUGAGCCGGUUCAGACCAUAAAGAGCAUAGAAUUUAAAAUAUAUGCUGCUUUUGAUUACAUAUAUAUAAACUAAUAAAUCAAAAUACUUUAUAUUAUAUUUACUAUUAUAUAUAUACAUGCAUUAAUAAUUUAUAAGAGCAAUAAUAUUUAGAAAAAUUACCACAGUGCUCAUUCUAGUUAAGCACCACAUCCAAGUAUGGCAGAGUAAUUAGAGUGCACAUUAAUAAUAUCAACCAAUCUCAUCAACCAAUACAUACAUAAAAUUAGGAAUAAUUGCUUGAAAAUAUCCGAUUUAUCCAUAUUUUUUUUUUCUUUCUAAAAUACCCCUCAUAUGUUCCACCGUUAUUACAAAAUACCCCCGCAGUUAUCUUCUGUUAAUUAAGCUAACUUGGGUUAAACGUGAGUUAAACAUCUACCACAAUUAAAAAAAUUUAAAAUACCAAUUUUGUCCUUAACUUAAGGGCAAAUAAGAAAUGUUGGUGACGGUACAGAGGUAUAUUAGAAAAGACCAAAAGUCAAAAUAUUUUUUGUGCCCCUGACUUGAAGGACAAAUAAGAAAGUCAGUGAUGGUGGAAGGAUAUAUUUGAAAGGGCAAAAUAGUAAUUUUACAGAGAUAACAGAGUUAAUUAACAGAUUUUAACUGUAUAUUAGAAAUAAGUUGAAACGUAGAAAAGAUAUUUUCAAUAUUACCCUUCUAAGAGAGGUAAAUCGAAAAGUCGAAAUCUUUUCAGAGGUAUAUAAGCAAUUGCCCUAUAAAACUAAAAUGUAGAUACAAUCUAUAUCUCAGUUGCUAUAAUUCAGCGCUUAUAAAUUUUUUUUAAAAAAUAAAAGAUACAGAGACACAUCAUUGGUGCGUCUUAAUACAUUUCGAAGCGAAUGGACGGCAAAAUUGCCUUGUGCAAAUGGAAAAAAAAAAAAAAAAUUCUGCGAACUAAACUACUAGGAAGAACCUAGCAAGAGGCGCGCCUGUUAUCGUGGAAACCACACCCCACCAGGCGUCUCCGGGCUCCUGCGCUGCGGCGACGUCGGCUGCAGCGGGGAGCGGCACAGCGGGCACGUGGCGCGGCCCGUCUCGGCCCACCGAUCGAUGCACGCCGCGUGGAACGCGUGGUCGCAGUUCCCCAGCUCCCUCACCCUGUGCUCCCCCGCAAACUCCUCCAAGCAAACCACGCAAACGGCAUUUUCCUCCUCCUCCUCCUCCUCCUCCGCCGCCGCAGCGGUGAGCUGUUUGAGCUGCUGCUGCUGCUUCUUUGAGAAGAUUUCGAAGUAGUGCACGACGCGGAGGGUCUCCGUAACGGCGGCGGAAGGAGAAGCGGUGGUCGCGGGGGAAGGAGGAUGCGGCAGCGGCAGCAGCAGCGGCAGCGGCAGGUCGGCGGCGGUGGUGGUCGGCGAUGUUGCUUGGAGGUAGAGGGCGUAGUCGUCCCAGGGAGGGAGGAGCGUUGCAUGGGGGUAGGGCUUGAGGCCGAGGACGUGGAGGAGGUACGAGAAUGAGAAGCUGAAGCAGUCGAGGAGGAGGAGGAACAACACCAGGGGCUUCGGGAGCAUCAUCACGUAGCUGGAGCAGGGGAGAAACCCCAUGGAAUGGAAUGGAAUGGAAUUAAUUAAACGCAAUUUGCUUAAUUGGAACCGUGACUGUGAGUUCUACACUACUACUUAUAUAUAUAUAUAGUAGGAGCUUGGAAAAGUUAUUUUGUUAUUACUUUUUUUCUUUUUUUCUCCUAGGUAGGUAAAAAUAAAAUUGCAUAUAAGGAGACCCCCUGUAUUAUGCGCAGUUCUGAAAUGGCCCCUCCAUAAUAAUAUUUUGAGUUUAAUCAAUCAACUUAUAAAUUUUACUAUCAAUAAUAGUUUAGGCAUCUACUUCAUUACGAUCUAUAUAGGUGAGGGGGUUGUACAUUUUUAAAUACGUGUGUGUGUGUUACCGUGUCACAAGAAUGUUCUAUUGCUGGAGGGUCAAGCAAGUCAUUGGAAAGACACGGCCGACCUGCUACAGCUUUCCUACGCUUUGUACCAGAAAUAGCUGCAAUUCUCCUACUAGUUAAUUUGUUGCCCCAACCAACGUGAACACGCACAGAGCAACAUAAAAAAUAAUAAUAAUAAGAGUCUGGCUAUGGUGCUUGUAAAAUUAUCAAGUAUUUGGUGCUUGUAAAUUUUUUAUCGUUAGAUCUACGCCUUUGAUCAUUUUCACCCGUUAGAUUAUACUAUUCAACCAACCACCCACUCAACCAUAGGGGGCCCACAUCAUCUUAACCGCACAUUCCUUAAUCCAAGGGCUAAAAACUUACAAGUACCAAUGACUUAUAUUUUUAAAAACAUAGAAGCUCAAUUCAUAAUAAUAAUAAUAAUAAUAAUAAUAAUAAUAAUAAUAUCAGGAGCUCCUCAUUCAAGUUUUUUUUUUUUUUUUUUUUUUUUUUUGAGAGAGAUAGAUAGUACGCUAUCCGUUUCGUUUAUUUCAUUUAGAAAUAAACUUAGCUAGAAAUGUAAAUUAACUAGGAUUCAAACUUGGAUCUCGGAUACCAACCACCAAGCCCUUUACCACCACUUGCUCUAGAAACGGCGGGUCUCAUUCAAGUUUAUUGAUUCCGCUUUAAGUGGUCGUCUAAUAUGAUGCAAAAAUUUGAAGAAAUUUUUUUUAGAUUAGAGUAAACCUCUAAAAUUUGAACGUAGAGUGAAUUAUACGGCUCACUUAGUUAUUUUAAUGGAAACUCGGUGAGAACACAUCCCGUGUAACAUUGUACUGAUGGGUUCCAUUUCUACGCAUAUAGCCUCUGUGGUUUUAUUUUAUUCAGCCACUUAUUUUUAAACUACUCGUUUGAUAGAUAAAUAAUAUUAAAAAAUUAUAAAAUUUUAUUUUUAAAUACUUUUAGUAAGAUAGAUCAAGUCAAAUAAAGUUGAUCGUCGAUUUAGAAGUCGCAUCAUCGAAAACAACUUGAUCGCACGGUAGCUUCCGUAAUAUAGCAGCCGGAUGCUAGAACACACUUACAUUAAUCAUGAUAUGUACUGUUGAAAGUAUUUAAAUAUUAAAUUUAUUAAUUUGUCAACAUCAUUAAUUUACUUAAUAAAUAAAAGGCUUUAAAAUUAAAAAUUUUAAUAGCUGAUGUGAUAGGUUUGUAAAUUUACCUAUGCAAAAUAAUUCAAAUUAAGUAAAAUUUUGCUAACAAAUUCUUUUCGCUAUAUAAAAUAAAAUCAAUACCUUGUUUUGAAUUUAGUGUUGUAUAUCAUCAUUGUUUAUAAAAUUUUUAUUUUCCAUUGUUCAUUUUAAGACUAUUUAUUGUUUAUUAAAUAAUUCUGAAAAUUUACAAGAUUUAAACUCCACAUGCUUUUAAUAAUGUAAGUCAUGCCUAAGGAAGUUAACCAUCUAUCAUCGGAAAUGAAGUAAAAAUAUCAAAACCUCAAUACUUCCAAAGUAUUGCAAUUGGACUCCAUAUAAUAAUUAGUAAUUGAUUUAUUAUCAUGAGUUCAGCUACUAUAUUAUCGAUAGUACCAAGCGUUUGGUAUUAUCGAGUUUUCCACCGUUAGAUCUAUUCCUUUGAUUAUUUUCAUUCGUUAAAUCAUACUAUUCAACCAACAACAUACUUAAUCUUAAGGGACCACUAUCAUUCUAACCACACAUCCCUUCAUUUAAGGCCGAAAACCUACCUUGGCUCAACUAAGAGUCGUCAUACACUUUCGGCUGGUGAUUGGCUCUGUCAAGAUUCGAAUGACAAGAUGACAGACUAUGGCAGGAUAGACAAGUAUUACAUCGUCCGAUGAUCUUAGACUGUGUGCUUGACAGGGCUGACAAGAACGUCAGUGUUUAUUAUUAUAAUUUUCAAACAUGACAUUCAAUUCAAUAAAACAUCAAUUUCGAAAUGCUGAUUUACUCCUAAGAGUAUACCUUUUAUGAGGUGAUCUAUAACGUUGCACUUGCAUUACAUCCUCAUGCAUGAUUCAGAACUUAACUGUGAGAGGUUAUUUCAUGCAAUUUUAAUAAACCACGUUCCAUAAAAUUGUGUUCCUUCUAAAGUUACCUAUCUCGCUUUAUAAAGUACUCAUGCCCAUAUAUAUAUAUAUAUAUAUAUAUAUAUAGCAAGGCUGCUGUGCUCUCAGGAGCACGGAGGCCUCCGUGCUCCUGAGCCGUUUUCGAUGAUGGAAUUUUCGAAUCGACGAUCGGCUCCGUUAGACUUGAUCUAGCGCAUUUGAAGUUUCUAGAAAAUAAUUUUUGCGAUUUUUCGAUAUCAUUUACCUAGCAAUCGAAAGGAUUCAAAAUCAAUAAUUUUUAACGGCUGAAAAUAAAAAUCCUAUAAAAAGUGGUGAUAUAGCAUUAAAAUUUUCGAUCAGAAAUAUAGAUCUUGUUGUAGAUAGAAUAAAGAAUUUUCUACCAAAAUUUCAUCUGAUUUGAAUACUUCUACACCGUUAAAUUUGAAAACGGCAUAUAUCAAUCAUUAAAAAUUAUGGAUUUUGAAUCCUUUCGAUCACUAGGUAAAUGAUAUCGAAAAAUCGCAAAAAUUAUUUUCUAGAAACUUCAAAUGCGCUAGAUCAAGUCUAACGGAGCCGAUCGUCGAUUCGAAAAUUCCAUCAUCGAAAACGGCUCAGGAGCACGGAGGCCUCUGUGCUCCUGAGAGCACAGCAGCCAUGCUCUAUAUAUAUAUAUAUAUAUAUAUAUAUGUUUUGCUCCAUCAGAUUUAAUUUUCAUAUAUAAUAUUUAAUUGACUAAAUUUUUGUGCCAUACCAUACACAUACCAUACACUAUUCCAACCAAUAAAGCUACAACUACACGACUACAAUUUGAGUGGUUAUUGACUCGCUUAUACCACUAACUCCACACUAAUUAGACUAAGUAAAGAAAUAAAUUAAACUAAGUAAGAGACAAAGCAGUUAAGCUAAGUACAGAAAUAUAAGCAAUUGCUUUGAGUAGGGAGUUAAUAAAUUAAGCAGUUACAUUUUAUCUAUCUCUUUUUAACUACCAUAUCAAAAAGCAACCCUAAUGCACAACAAAUUAGGUAAGAAAUAAGUAUUAGUUGAGAACAAGGAUUUGGGGAAUUCGACAGCGUCAGAGGUCGCGACAGAUAGAGAUGGAAUAGUACGAAUUCACUACAAAGAGGGUCUCAAAUUGCAAUCAUAACUCACUAAUGUUUGGAAGAGAGAAUUAAUAGUCGCUAUUUUGGUCCUCCGAAUCCAGAACAAGAUUGAAUAGAACAAAAAUAAGGAAAUGGUAUUGGUUAAGAGUUAGGAUUUCGCGAUUCAGUUAAGAAGAUUGUUAUCAAGAAAGAUGAAAGCUCGAAUGGUAAGUGACUGAAAGUUGUUUCUUGAAAAGCAAUUCCCAAAAAACCAACAAUGCAUUGCAAACAAAAAUAACAGAGAAACAAAAGAAUACCUUGAUUCCCCUUAACUUCACAUUUUACAGGAAUUAUUAUUAUAUUUAAGAUCAUAAAUUGAACUGUAACUAAAGAUGCCAGCAUAAUGCUCUAACAUCAUCAAAACCUCAACGGAAAACAGAAACUGGGUAGAAACUAGUCGAGUAAGCAAGCAAAGCAUGAUAUUAUGACAUGCAUGCAAACAGCAGCAACACAUAAAGAGGAAAAUUGCUGAGCUUCAGAUAUCAGAAUCUUUUUACAUAACUAUAAAAAAUGCAUUUUGCUACCUCUUCAGAACAAAUAACUUGCGAUAACUUCCCAAGCCUAAUCAAUGUCUAUCUCCCAUAAAGAUUAAUCCAUGCUUAUAUUUGCCCAAAUAUCGCAUGCACCCAGCCAUUGUAUGAACAAGUGAUGUUCUUAUGCCCUUAUUCCGAUUUCUAUCUUCUUCGACUCUUUUUUCUCUCUUAGGUUAUUUUUAUUUCUUGAACUAGUUUAAUCUCGAAACGCGAACAUACAUCAUAGUCAUAGGAGAGUUUAGAAUACAUCUACAUGAAUAGCUUUUCAAAUGGCCCCUUUGAAUGACUACACUUCUUUUCCUCUUUCAACGAGUAACAUCAUUUCCUACAAAUUUCUAUUUUCCAAACUCAAGAAGAAGAGAAAUUUUCCUUUGAUCCGAAAAUUCAUUCCUUUGAGUUAAAGAAGAGGAAAAGAAAGAUAGCAGGAAAGGACUAUGCGGAUAGUAAGCAAGCAGAUUUAAUGAAGAAAGACUCGACAUUGCUGCAAAAGAAAAUAUAUAUAGAAUUCUACAUGCUAUUGACAUUACUAAUUAGGUGACAAACAUAUAGAUAUGAGUGAAACUUGUCGCUGACCCAUGUACACGCUAUAAGACGAGAGAUAUCCUCCUGUUAUACCGAAGAAGUAUGUAUAUGCUAUAAGUAGAGCAGCAAAAAGCAAAUCGCUCUAUUUAUUUUUACAGCGUACGAGGUAUAAAGCAAGAGAGCGAUGGCGGGAAUACGGUUUUUCUUUCCAUGUGUAUACGUAUAAUUUGGUCUCCUUUUUAACCUUUGUCGGUGCCUUAAUGACGACAGAGUGGAUAAUUCAUAAACAGCCGCAAAUUCUGUUACUGCAGAACAUGUCAUACACACAGUAUCAAGCAAUUCCAAGCUCUCUCCAAUGACUUAAAUCAAAUCGAUGACAAUUAAAAUCAACAGGCAAAUCCACAAACUAAGCAGGUAGACAGAUUACUAGUACCUGAUUCAAGAAGUAUGCAUGCUUCCCUGCAGUUUAGAACGUCUACUGGGCACAACAGAAGCCCUACAGCAACUUAUAUACGUAGUUAAAGCAACCGAACUUCUACUUUGGUAAAAAAGCAUGAUCCUAUUGCAUUUCAAGAACAAGUAGGGACAAUUCUGCACCAAGAUGGGCCGUAAACAAUCCGAUUUACAAAGCAUACAUUCAUUGACUCCAAAGCGAAGAAUCGUAAGAAGUGCGCUCCAAUUCUACUACUAUUCAAUUCAAUAACAAUUCACACUCAGACGAUUUAACACCUCAUCCAAAUAGCAAUCUCAUCUUAGCAGUACGAACACAAUAGUUAAGUGUCCUAAGCAUAAAGAUGUAAUAUUUGGAAGGAAUGAAAUACCUUGUGGACGGAGAUGUGGUUGUCGUUGUUGUCGUCGUCGUUGGUGGUCAGACCCUGAGCAUCUGGACUUUGUUGGCGAAGGCGAUGGCGAUCCAGUCGGGGUGGGCGGCGGACCACUGGAGCUGGUUGAUCUCGGCGCCGGCGGUGUAGAGCAUGGCGGGGUCGAUGGCGNGUCGUCGUCGUUGGUGGUCAGACCCUGAGCAUCUGGACUUUGUUGGCGAAGGCGAUGGCGAUCCAGUCGGGGUGGGCGGCGGACCAGUGGCCGUCGUCGGCGGCGGAGCAGAGGGAGCGGGGGGCGGCGGGGGACCAGGCGACGGCGUUGACGGGGGCGGCGUGGCGGUGGAGGUCGGCGACGGGGACGGCGGGGGAGCGGAUGUCGAGGACGACGACGCGGGCGCUGUCCAUGAGGACGGCGGCCAUGUAGCGGCGGUCGACCUUGUUCCAGGCGAGGCGGAGGAGCGGGGUGUCGGGGCGGGGGCUCUCGUAGAUGAUGGUGGAGUGCUCCUUGUCGCGGAGGUCGAAGACGCGGACGGAGCCGUCGGCGGAGACGGAGGCGAACACGGCGGCCUCGCCCCAGGCGAUGUCGUACACCUCCUUGUCGUGGGCGAUGAGCUGCGUCUCCACGGCGCCGCGCUCCACGUCCCACACCGUGCACGUCGUGUCGAUGGAGCAGGUGCCCACGCGCCGGGGCUCGGCCUCGUUCCAGUCGAAGGACGUGAGCGGCGCGCAGAAGUCGCUCGACUUGCUGUUGCUGAGGACGCACCGGAGCUCCACGGCGGGGGAUAGCGACGGCGACGACGCGGGGUCGGCGGGGAGGCGCCAGAGGCGGAGGAAGUCGGAGGAGGAGGCGAGGAGGGGUUGGGAGGGGCUGGGGUGGAAGAGGAGCUUCGUCGGCGGGUAGGGGUGCUCGAAGGAGAGGCCGGGGUCGGCGCGGAACGAGAGCGAGUCCUCGUCGAAGGAGACGAUGUCGACGCGGUUGGAGUAGUCCUCGACGAAGGAUCCCAGGGCGAGGCGAGGCGAGGACGACGACGAAGCAGCAGCAGCAGCGGAGGAGGAGGAGGAGGACGAGGGAGCGAAGGCCAUGGCGUAGACGGGGUGGGGGGACUCGAAGGUGUAGACGAAGGGGUUGGUGGAGAGAGGGGACUCCUGGGUCGAGCUCUGCUGCUCCAUGGCUCCCACGACGACGAUGGGAGGAGGAGGAGGAGGAGGAGGAGGAGGAAUCAAGCGAGGACGACGAGCAAAUUAAGAAUAAGAGCAAGGGGGGAUUUUUUCUGCAAAAGCAACGCAUCCGACGGUCAACGAGCCGGCUUGGUCAACCGGCACGUGCCACGGGGGAGUGGCGCCCACCAUGGGUUUGCUUAAAUCUCGGCCGUUCAUCUGAUAGGGCAUUUACCUACGGAUUGCGAGUUCGACUCAAUAUUUGGCUCACUCAAGCUCGACUCGAAAUUAAAUGAGCCGAGCUUGAACAAAAAAAAAGGCUCGAAAUUUAUUUUAAGUCGAGCUUGAGUAUUACUCGACUCGUUCGAAUUAGGCUCGAAAAGCUCGAAUAUAUAUAUAUAUAUAUAUAUAUAUAUAUACACUAUGUUAUCGAAAGUAUAGAAGAUCUGGUGCUUUCGAUUUUUUGAUUUUUAAAUCAACUAAUUAUUUUUUUGAAUUAAUACUAUUAUUAUCUUGUAGGGACCACCCAAUCUUAUGGGAUAUUAUUUAAUCCUAGGGAGGAUCGCAAUCAUCCCAAUCAUACAAUUCUUAAUCAAAGGGUCAAAAAUUCCAAAACAUCAAAUCCUCUAUAUUUAAUAGCAUAUGUAGUUCUCCACACGUAUAUAUAUAUUAUAUACUAUACUAUAUUAUAUAUAUAUAUAUAUAUAGAUAUAUAUAUUAUAUAUAUAUAUAUAUAUAUAAAAAUAUAUAAUAUAUAAUUAUGUUUAAUUAUUAUAGGUGAUGUGAAAUAUUCUGAAUUUAGUUUAAAAUUGGACAAUAUUGUUGGCCAUAAAACAAACCAUAGAACAAUAAAAGAGCAAAAUUUUACUAAAUUUAUGUAUUUUCCUUUCUUUUUUCUUUCACAUAGUUACAUAUGAUUGGUUAUGUUUAAUCAAAUUAUCUAAUAAUUUAAUUAUUAUGUUGACUGAAAAUGAAAAUUAAAUAAUGUGGAGAUUGUAAGGCGGAAAAAAAAGACAUGUGAGGCUGAAAGAUUAGAUAUUCACUCAUUAAUUUUUUUAUGAUAUAUAACCAAUAUUUUAUGAAAAUAUUUUAUACCUUUGAACUAUUAGCCAUAUUUUGAUCAAAUUAUAGAUAAUCAUUUUAUACAAUUAAAACUAUGAUCGGUAUGAUGUUGAGAUUUCACGCGGCUCGAGGGCUCGAGCUCCUCCGACUCGAAAUUAGUCAUCGCUCGAGCUCGGCUUGAAUUAAAUUUAAUCCCAUUUGAGUUUAUAAUUAAACUGAAUUAAUUUCAAAAGUCGAUAUUUGAGCCUAAGAUAAGCUCGCUGCGAGCUCGGCUCGUUUCCACCCACUACCUCGACCGACCUCCCUCGGAGUUUUAUACGGGGGGGGGGGAGGGGGGAGAGGGGGCAAUUACACUUCAACCUUCUAAGAUUUUAAAAUUGAAAAAAUUUUAAAUACCACAUAUGUGAUUUCAAUUUUUUUUCACUUUAAUAUCUUAUAGUUUAAAAUAUAUCACUUUAGAAUCAUGUGGUUUCGAUUUUCUCUUUUCAUUAUCCUCCAAAUUAUUUUUUUCGUUAAAUUAGCGACAAAGUUAAAAUCAUAUUGUACUAAAAUAAAAUUUUGGUAAACUAUAGGGUACUAAAAUAAAUAUUCGAUAAAUUAUAGGUGAGGUAUAUGAAGUUUUUUAUAUGUAUGAUUUAACAGAGAGUUAAAGAAAGUGGCGACAAAAAUAAAAGAAAAAAAUCAAACCAUAAAAUAUGAAAAUUAUACACUUUAAACCACAUAAUACUAAAGUGAGAAAAUAUAAAACUACAGGAAUGAUAUUUAAAGUUCAACAUUUAAAAUAUUAUGAAGACGUCUCAAUACAUAUAAAUCUAUUACCAAUGCUUAAGCCUUAAAAAUAAGACAUCUAGGUUUUUUUAUUUGAAAACCAUACUUCAAAAUGUUCUGCUUUUUAAUUUUAGUAUUAUUUACUUAAAAAUAAAUGCAACGUUAUAUUUGUGUUUUAACUAGUAUAAUUAUACUAUAUAUAUAAAUGAGUGAAAGACAAGAUAAGUUUUGAUUUCAUAAAAAAAAAUCCGUCCUCAAAAUAAUGUAUUUUGUUGAGUACGGGCUUUUGUCGGUAAAGAGGAAUCACAAAUGAUUCAAGUAAAAUUUUUUGUAUGAAUUUUUGGAUCUCUCAUUAUUUAAUCUAAGUAAGAAUUAUAGAUUUAAUUGUACUAAUUUCAAAAGUCGAGCUAGAUAUUAUAAUAAAUUAAAAUUUGAGGAUUAAAAUUAAUGGUUAUAAUAUCCAACUACUAUAACUAAAUGCAAUAAAACUACAUCUAAUUGUCAAAAAAUUAAAAAAAAAAAAUUACAAGAAGUCAAAUGACUAAAAUGUAGUUGAUCUUUAAUUUGAGAGCACAUGGGUAGACCAUUUCUGGGGUUCUACUUAAAAAAAGAUUGUGGCAUGAUCACUCUCUUUCAAAGACCUGGUAUUUUGCACAAGCAAAAUAAAUAAUUUUUUUUAGAAAAAAUCAUUCAUGGUGAAUGAAAAAAAUAAGGACAAAUUUUACUUUGUCUCAUUGGUUUAGUUUAUUUUAUUAUUUUAUUAUUUUAUGGUUUAUAUUUAAUUAUUCUGUGUUUAGCUUUUUUUUUGUCAUCUUGAUAUUCAAAAAAUUAUGCUUAAUUAUUUUGUAGUUAUAAAGAAAUUGUACUUUGCUAUUUUAUUAGUAAUUGAUUUUUGAAUAAAAAUAUACACAAAAUUAUAAAUAGUUAAGUACAACUUUUUGAAUCAUAUAAUGAUAAGUACAAUAAGCUAAAUCAUUUUGGGUGCAAAUUGAAAUUUACCAAAAAUAUAUAUAUAUUUAACUCUUUAUUCCUUUUCUUUCUUUUUUUGUUGAUUUCUUUUCUUUUCAUUUUAUGGGUGUAGAACUUUUUUUAUUGAAAUAAUUAUCUAUAUACCUCUCAAAACUUGGAAAAUAUCUUAUUUACCUAUAAUUUUUUUUUUCUUUUCAAUAUACUUCUCAUAUGUUUCUCUGUUAUUCCAAAAUACUCAUGCGGUACUACUUGUUAAGUUAACUUGGUUAAACAUAAGUUAAAUAUCAACAAGAGUUAAAAAUAAAAAAUAAAAUGUCUCUUUUGCUCUUAACUUAAGAGCAAAUAAGAAAUAUUAGUGAUGCUAAAAGAAUAUAUUUGAAAAAAUAAAAAAUAAAAAAAAAUUUUGUGUCCCUAACUUAAGAAGAAAUAAGAAAAAAAUGUGACGGUGGAAGGGUAUAUUCGAAAAGGUAAAAUAGUAAUUUUAUAUAGAUAACGAAAUUUAACUCUAAAAAUAUAUUUAAAAUAUAUUAAAUCGUAAAAAAAAUAUUUUUAAUAUUAAUUUUCUAAAAAAAUAAAUUAAAAAGUCGAAAAUUUUUCAAUUGAACGGACAACGAGCACGGAAGGUAAGUUCACAAAUGGCACAGACUCUUACGGCGAUAGUUUGUGACUUUGACAAAACAAAUAGACAAUAGACCCUUUAUAGUUUAGAAGGUACUUGGCUUUUAUGUUAGUUAAUUCGCGAAUUAUUGACGAAUUAUCCAUGAUUUUUUGAAAAAAUGAAUUAAAUGGUCGAAUUCAUAUUUUUUGAAAAAUUCGAAAAAAAACAUGAUUUUUUGAUAAAAAAUACUUGUUCGCGUAUUAUACGCAUAAGCUGAAUUAUUCAGCCUAAAAAACGCGUUGCGCCCGCACGCGCUCCAGCACGCGCUGAUGGGCCGGCUGGCCCAAAACAGAAAAAUACAGAAAAAAAAAAAAAAAAAAAAAAAAAAAAUCUUUCUGAAUUUUUUACUUAAUUAGCUUAAUUUUGUAGCUAUUUAUUCUUAUAUUCUUAAGAAAUAUGAAUAUUUAUGCUAAUAGCAUAAAUCUUGAGAGAAAAAAAAUUUAAUUUAAUAGCCGAAUUUUUUAUCCCAAAUUUUUAAUUGGCGAACGUAUAUUAUCCGUAUAAAUCACGUAUCCGAAUAAUUGAUGAAUCCAUUUUUUAGCCAUAUUUUUCAACGAAUUUAAAAUUAGAAGACGAAUUUUAUUCGAAUUAUACCCGUACCGAAUUUUUGCCGAAUCUGAAUUAACUAACUAUACUUGGCUCCAAGUGCGGCUAGGAUGCUUAUGGAAAUACGGAGGGCUCCGUGCUUUCACUUUGUUUUCGAUAUUCGGACUUUCGAAUUGACGAUCGGCUCCAUUAGACUUGAUCUAGAGUAUUUGAAGUAUCUGGAAAAUAAAUUUUGCGAUUUUUCGAUAUCAUUUGCCUAGUAAUCGAAGUGGCUCAAAAUCAACGGCUGAAAAUAAAAAUCUUACAAAAUAUGAUGAUAUGACAAUAAAAUUUUAGAUCAAAGUUAUUGAUCUUGUUUUAUAUAGUAUAAAGAAUUUUCUAUCAAAAUUUCAUGUGAUUUAGAUAUUUCUACACCGUUAAACUUACAACCGGCUCACCACGGCCGUUAAAAUUAUUGAUUUUGAGCAACUUCGAUCACUAGUCAAAUGAUAUCAAAAAUCACAAAAUUUAUUUUCUAGGUACUUCAAAUAUUCUAGAUCAACUCUAAGGGAGCCGAUCGUCGAUUCGAAAAUCCGAACAUCGAAAAUAAUUUGGAAGCUUCUCUCAGCAUACCAGCCCACUCCUUGGCUCCUCUAAAAGGCAUGAUUUUUUUUUUUCUUUUUUUUGUAACUCUUUUGAAUCCAUUCAAUCUCGCUCGGUUGUGCCAGUAAAGCCAAUAAAUCGAAGGAAAAAAAUGCUGAUGCACAAGCUAUGACUAUGAGAGACCGACCGUAAGUUUACAUACGAUGCAAACUCGCAACUUUAUUAUCUAUUUAGAAAAAAUUAAAAGGAUGUGUUUGGUUUCUCAAAAAUACAUAAAAAUUUAUUUUUUUUAAAAAAAAUAAGAUUUUUUUUUGAGUUUUUAAGAUAUAGAAUUGGAAAAAUAAAAUUACAACUUUUGUAUAAAAUCUGAAGUUUUUAGAAAAAAUAACAUUUUUCAAAAAAUGUAAACAGAUAAAAAAAAAAAUAUUAUUUCAACCAAAAUUUAUUUUCUAGGAUAGUUUGCAAUGAAACAAACACUUCCCUAGGAGAAAAGCCGAUGUAAAAUCGAAUGAUCAUGUGACGUCAACACUGUUAACACUUCUGUCAAACCUGCUGUCCAUAUAGCAAGUAGUAAAGGAUUUGAUGAUUGAUAUCCGUGGUCCCAAAUUUGAAUCCUAGUUGAUUUAUAUUUCUAGCUAAUUUUAUUUUUAAAUGAAAUAAACGAAACGGAUAGCGUGCUACCUAUCUCUCUGAAAAAAAAAAAAAAACACUUCUAUCAAAAAUUUUAAGGGCUUUCUUUAUGUUUAGCAUCCUCAAAAAAUAUAUAUAUAUAUAUAAAUAGUCCUAGUAAAUUUAUAUUUAUAUAUAUAUAUAGUUCUCUCUUUGCCACGUGAGUGUCACGUUGACAAUUUUAAGUUGAACGUAAUGAAUCAAUCACCGUAUUCAUAUUCACACUUUAAUCUUUUUUUUUAACUUAAGAAUAAUAAAAAAUAUAAAAAGAAUGUGGCGAUUAAAUCAUUGUGUUCAAUUUAAUAACACCAUUAGACACUUACAUGGCAAUGAAAUGACUAUUUAUAUAAAUAUAAAUUUGUUAGGAUAAUACGUAAAAAAAAAAAAAAGAAAAAGUUUUGCGGGCACUAAAUUAAAAAAAAAUCCAAAAUUUAAAUUAUUGGAUCUUAUUUAAUUUUCUUUCCUCUAUUUCUUAAAUACUUUAUCCUUUCCACUCUCCCCCCAUCCUCUCUCUCUCUCUCUCUUUCUCUCUCUCUCUCUCUCUCUCUCUCUACUCCCGCGGCCACAGCCAUGGCGACCCCCCUCUCCCUCCCUCACCUCUCCUCCCCCUUCUCCACCAAAACCUCGCUCUCCUCCUUCCUCCCCCGCUUCUCCUCCCCCUCCCUCUCCUCCUCUUCUUCUCCUUCGUCCACGUCUCUCCGCAGAGGACGCUCUCCCACGGCCACUCCGAGGCCCCUCACCGUCAAAUCCAUGGCGCCUCCGAAGCCCGGGGGGAAACCCAAGAAGGGUAUCUCUCAAAUGUGUUUCCUUCGUUUUCCCUGAUAGCUGUUUCAUCCUUGCUCCUGUUCGUGCCCUCAAGGUGUUUGUUGUUUUGUCGCAGUGGUGGGAAUCGUAAAACUCGCUCUGGAGGCGGGUAAGGCGACUCCUGCGCCCCCAGUGGGGCCGGCGCUCGGGUCGAAGGGCGUGAACAUCAUGGCGUUUUGCAAGGAGUACAAUGCCAAGACCGCGGACAAGGCCGGAUACGUGAUUCCGGUGGAAAUCACAGUAUUUGAUGUGAGCUACCACUUGGUUAUGAGAAUUAAGGAAAUUUUGCUUUUGAUUUUCUCUCUAAGCAUCUUGUGUAAAGAUUCUAACUUUGGUAGCUUUUGUUUAAAGUUUCUUCUUUAUUGCAGUAGAUUUACUAAUCUACGUUGUCUAUGAACAGGAUAAGAGCUUUACCUUCAUUUUGAAGACUCCCCCUGCCUCAGUUUUGCUCCUUAAGGCUGCAGGUUUGUUUUUUUAAUGAAAAUAUGACGGAGCUGUAUAUGUUCUUCUUUAUAAUCUUUAAAAAUGUUCUGCAAAUACUUGUUUUUAUAAACCAUUGAUAUGCUAUUUGAAAUGCGUGUUAUCAACUUGUUUUAGGUUUAUUAUACAUGUUGUGUUCCUUACCGAAAGAUACUGCAUAUGCUCAUCGGAAAGUUACGCUCUUCUAUGAUUUAGCAUAUUAUUAACUAGAACAGGUUUAAUGCGUUCCCGUAUGUGUUAGCAUCUCUUUGUCAAUUCUUGCUUAACUUUGUUAGCGGAUUAUCGACAUUCCUCACAAUUUAAUGCUUCAGUGACUUCCAAUGUUUUAUGGAGAAGGAUCAAGAUAACAAAAGAUUAGUUUGGAUUAAGGAAUAAGCGCACCAAAGUUUGCAACCUGGACAGUACUAUUCAGAAAGAGAAGUAUAUAACGUUUGAUUUUCCGGUAAACCAGUUAUCAUCCUCUAUAAUUGAACGAAUUCAAUCCUUUGAGGAUGUGAAGUAAUGGAGAUCUAAGGAGGCAAAACUUUUUUUUUAAGUUGGUAGUAUGUGAUUUUUUUCUUCUUCUUCUGAUGUUUAGCUUGAUUUUAUGGCAGUCGAUCAUGGAUACAUAAUGCAUACAUUAGCAAUGCAUCUAAUUCAUAAUUUUUUUUCUAUUCAUUCUAGCAUCCUUUGUAUUGAAUCAUAUGCUGAACAAUGCCCUUUUAGGAAAUGAUAGAUAUCGUUAAAGGAAGUAGGAGACUAGUUUUUGCAGCAUAUUGGGGAUUCUGUUUUGAGCUUCAGCUUGAAUCCUCUGGAUGGAUUUAAAAGCCCGGGAGUCACUUUAAAAAGUAUAUUUAACCAACAAUUCAUCGGAAGCCCCAGUUUGCAAAACUUGCUUUCAUUUCAAAUUCCCGCCACAGCCAGGAAUUCUAACAUAUUGUUUUACAAACUUCUUGUCUCUACUUCGCAAUUAUCAUAUUCCAAAAUCUUGGAUAAAUUCUGAUUAAAUACGCUGUGAUACAUAUAAAUAUGAUUGUUACCCAAACUCUGCCAUAUAUUAGUGAGAGAUGCCAUGGAAGAUAUGGCGCGUUCUCUGAUUUCUUUUGCUGCUAAUUUCUUUUGCUGUUCGAGAUGCUUAAUCAGGUGCUGAGAAGGGUUCAAAAGAGCCGAAGCGAGAGAAGGUUGGGAAGGUAACAAUCGAGCAGCUGCGUGCGAUAGCAACGGAGAAGUUGCCGGAUUUGAACUGCAAGAGUAUCGAGUCGGCCAUGAGGAUCAUAGCAGGCACUGCAGCCAAUAUGGGCAUCGACGUCGAGCCGCCAGUUCUCGAGCCAAAGAAGAAAGCUAUUGUAUUAUAGCCUAUUCGCUGCCUUGUCAUUUCCUCAUCAAUUUUCCUAUAAUAGUGGAUGAAACAGUAGAUUGUGUAUUCGAAAGUUGCGCGGUGAAGCUGCUUCAUUGGUCUUCAGAUAUUUCAUGCUGCUUAUCAUUUAUAGAGUUGAUAAUCUAUCAGUAGCUUAUACAUGGCACAGCACUAUUGGGCUUGAUGUACAGGCUAUAUGAAGAGCCUCGGUUAGCGCUUGGUGUGGAGAUAUCAUAUAACGAAAGUUAUUCCCGCUAUUCUUUUGUAAUAAAAAGAAAAAUGUUUGCGAAAUGGGAUUGCGGGGGAUAACUGAGAACAGUUAUUGCAGGUCUUGCUUAGAAUAGCUGUACAUCUUAUUAUACAUAAGCUUCCAAGUUGAAGAUUCAGUUUGGUUCUGUACGGUUUGAUUUUUCAGAUUUUUUCUUUUUACUCCAUUUUGGUUCCUUUUUUUAAAAGAAUAACCAGUUUUUCUUCAAAAUCUGACCGGACCAAAAAGGCUCUCUAAAGCUGAUCAUGAUAUGAGACAAGGUUUUAAGUGUCCGUCGGCACGGGUCGUAUUCAUCAUGCCAACAAGAUACUGGCACGAUACAGAUUUUGUGCCGAUGGCACAUUUCAUAACUCUCUAUUCUUUAAAUUAAUAAAUAAUUUUUUUAAUAAAGUUCAAAAAAUAUGAUAAAAAUACAUAAUAAAUAGUUAGAAUAUUCUGUUGCUAAAGAAAAUAAAUAUUUCAUGUUAUUAUGUGUCGGCACAUAAAAAUUUUUUUGACCGACACGUAUCGGUACGGCUCGGCACACAUCGAGCUGUACUGUACCGGCAAAUUUUCGGCACGAUUUUGUGCCACGGCAUCUAAAUCUUUGAUAUGAGAGCAUGCGCAUCAUAGGCGAAAUUUGUUUUUAUCUAAUCUCUUUUUNUUAUUUUGUCAUAAUCAUAUUAAAAUUUAUAUAAAAAAUGUUAAGAUAUCCAAAAUUUCAAAUAAAGAAGCUUGGAAGUUGGAACAUCCUUUUCACAAUCACUCUUGAUAGUAUGUAAAGAAAGAGUUCUAUAUUUUAUUUUUGCCGGAAUUAGAAAAAUAAUAAGGACCAGCCACAUAACAUAACCAUCCAAACUAAUUACUCUUGUCCUAUUUUCUCAUCUCUCCAUGGAUUAAUUUCCAUGCUCCCCUCCAAAAAAAAAAAAAGAAAAAAGAAAAAAGAAAAAAAAAGAAAAAGAAAAAGAAAAAGAAAAAUCCUUUACCUAUUCAGUGGCAUCAUCAACCAAUCACAGCACGCCACAUCAGACAGGCAAAUUUGUAUACCGUUAUCCAUUUGCGUACCAGCGAUUGGUUGGGCCCUUCGGCGAUUCGCCCCAUCGGCCCAUCCUCGCGCCGCAUAAAAAUAAUAAUUUUUAAAUAAAUAAAUUAAUUAAUAAGAAAACUCACACGCAGAGCAUUUUCUAGCGCGCCAUGGCCUCCUCCUCCGCCGCCGCCGCCGCCGCAGCCACCUGCGCCCACCGCUCGCCGGCGUUGGCCGGCGCGAAGGCCCCCGCUCGCCGCCACGCCGCGCGACGCGUCCGCCUCCCGCCGCUUCCGCCGCCGCGCAGCGCCGCGUGCCCUGGACUCCUACAAACUGCCUCCUGCGGUGAGUGUGCCCUCCAGGUGUUCGAUUCUUUGUCCCAGAGAAAAUGUUGCUCGGAUCGUGAACUCGGAUUCGAAUACGGAUGCUACAUUUCAAAGCACUCAAUUUGUUUGCUUUUGGAGGAAUCUAGUUCCAAAGUGUUUGGAGUGUGCGCAUCGGGACGCCAUGGCUCAAAACCUUAUCUUUUCAAAAUUAGUCAACAAUUACAUCGAUUGAAUGAAUAUCGACACAUGGCACGAUACUAUGCCGUAUUGUGCCGGCAAGUGCUCAGUAUGAUCCCGUACCAUGACACUUAAAUCCUUGUGUAUUGCCUGUUUGUUUGCGAUUUGCCAAUAGAGCUUUUAUGUAAUUGCAAGUAGGGAAAUAACGUCUACCCUAAGUCUCAUCGCACCUCUCCCUUGCGCAAUUUAGGUCAUGGAAAUGCAAGAAAUGUCCUUGCAAAGGCAACAGGAGAAUCACCGGCUGAAGCUACGACUGAGUUUCCCGAAAUUGUGAAACCCGUGCAGGAAUUGGUCAGUUUUUUAGGUUUUGUUUUGAUUCGUAGGCAUAUCGACUAUAAUAACUCUUCUUUUUAGACAGUGGGACAAACUUGAAGAUAAGUAUGCCGUGGCUUCGCUAGCUGUUGCCAGUAUUAUCGGAUUGUGGACUGCCGCUGGAGUGAUUUCGGUACUAAAAAGUUUUUGAUCCAAUUAUCAGUAUGAUGAUGAUUGCAUCAGACAAGUGAUGCCGAAUCAAAUGGUUUGAUGCGGGGUUUCUUUGUUUCUGAUGAUCAGUAAUUUUAGAUUUCUUUUUUUCUCUUUUAUCUUUUUCCUUCUGGGAAGAACUUUAAAGAAGGGCUAACAUACGCAGGCAAUUGAUCGACUCCCUGUUGUCCCCGGCAUUCUUGAGCUUGUUGGAAUUGGUUACACAGGGGUGAGUUCUUACUUCCUGCAAAUAUGAUCUUCUUAUAUAUAAAUUAUUGUCACUAAUGACUGUGCAUUUUAAGUUUUUUUUUUUUGUUCCUAUUAUCAUCUAUAAUCUUGCGAAUAAUUCAGUAUCCUGCUGAAUGUGUACUACAUUUGUAACUUCAUGAAGACAAAUUAUUUUGCAUGAUGGAAACUAAAAUAUAUAAAUUUGGAGCCUAUACAUCUGCAUCUCAUUGACAAAAUGAAGUUAGAAAAGGCCGCCAUUGAGAGACAUACUCUAGAUAUCAACUUAAAAGUGGAAGCAGAAACAGAAGUCGCUCGUUGGAUUAUGCGCUUAUGUUAACUGCUAUUUGCUGUUGUCGCAGUGGUUUGCAUACCAAAACCUGAUCUUCACACCUGACAGGUAUACUCUUAGCCCUUUUCUUCUUUCUCUUUUUUUACUUCAGAUCCUUUAGUACUAAUACCAUAUGAAGACACCUCUAUGGCCACACCAUGAAAAGAAAUAUGUCCAUGAUUUUGCAGCUACCUGGCAUUCUGGUUUUAAAUGCCCUGUAUAGCUAUUUUGUAAAGGAAUAAUUUGCUACAGAAUCUUCUUUUUUUUUUUUGAGUUAUGGUCGCCAUAUCCUUAAGGAGGAUUUUCUAUAUGGCGGCAGCCUGUCGCAUUCUCUAAAUUGGAAAGCUGAUAUGAUCAACAAAGGAUAGAAGUAAACAGUUACUAUCUAAAAAUGAAUAAAUAUACGGUUCUUCUGUAGUAACUAUGUUGAAAUUUUCAUCAUCUGAAACUUUGGACAAAUUGUAAUUGUAAUCAUGAUUCUUAUGCUGAAUGGAUUACAGGGAAGCUUUGAUAGCAAAGAUAAAGGGCGUCUAUGAGAACAUAAUCGGGAGCAGCUAACGGAUGAGCAUCAAUAGAUUGGUGGCAUCAGAAACACUAAAUGCUGUCGAAUGAAUGCCAAUUCUUAUCCACUGGGAGAUCAUUGUGUGAGAGGGAAGGAAAAAAGUUGUAGUCUUUCAUGGUUUAUUCUGUUGUAUGGCAUAACCUUCUAAAACUAUACAAUCCGUUUAAUGAUUGUGCUAUGUGCUUAUUUUCCAUUUCAUAUUGUGUUUCAGUGGCUUGGAUCGGUGAAGUGAAUGCUGAUCUGUUUGUUAAUCUUUUCAUAUUGUCGACAAUGAAUAAGAAAAUAAGAAUUUCUAUCAAGAAUAACACUGCUUGUAUUUGUUGUAAUUGUUCCUUCAAUAGACAAAACUCUGGUGCCUUCCCCCAAUAGGGACAUUUCUCUGACUGAUUCUACCAUCCUAGAAUGUGGAUUUCGGAAAAAAGAAAAGAUGACUUUGAUUGCUUUUCCUGAUCCGAAAUCCUCUUCUUUUCGACACUAUUCUUCCAUAUUUUGAGCCAAGCUAGUCUCUCUAUCAGAAAAUUGGUUGAUCUAUGUCUUCAUGUGAAGACAGAGAUCUGAUUGCUCCCUUACAUACUGGAAGAAGUUCUGAAAACUCAAAAGCCUUAAUUCAAGAGAUGUAAGCAAAUUAAUCUCAAAUAUACCGUCGACAAUCUGAUAAGGUUGGCUACAUCUCUUCUAAAGUGGAAAUGCCACUAAUGAAACUUGCAGAUACUGUUUAAUUCGAAGCGCAAUGUACACAAAACAUUUAAUAGGAAUUAGGUCAAUGAAAAAUCAAGCUAUUUUUUGUGAGGUGGAGAAUGAGCCUAGUUCUUAGAUUAUAAAGAUAGAUAUGUCUGCAUGGUCAAUCAAAGCAAGCACACUUCUUUGACAUCUAUUAUUUAUAAAACAAUCUACAUGUGAAGAAAUAUGAUAACUAGUAAUAUACAUUAUAGAUUGUAAAAUCACAUUUAGGCAAUGAAGAUCAUGCUCUUUGCUGCAGCUACAGUAAACAGCAUUAAAAUCACAUUUAGGCAAUGAAGAUUAUGCUCUUUGCUGCAGCUACAGUAAACAGCAUUAGCAUACACAAUCAUGUGAGUUAGAUACUCAAAUUGUGGCAAGAAAAUUGCCACAGUGGCUACUUUGCAAAGCCAUUGAUGAACCACUCCUUUUGUGAGAAAAAAGCCGCAUGCUUAUGAAAAGGAGUGUAUGUACUAUGUCUUAUUAAGUAGAGCAUAUGGAAAUUGUUAAAAAUUUAGAACCAUUUUAAUAUGAUGUUAAUGAGCUUCACCUAUAAUGCCAGUCUAUUAGUUUACUUUCAAAGCUAUCCAUAAACUCACCGUUCCUAGCGCAAGUGGUAAGGAUUUGGUGAUUGGUACCCGAGGUCCCAAAUUCAAAUUCUAGUUGAUUCAUAUUUCCAAUUAAGUUUAUUUAUAAAUAAAACAAAUGAAGUAGAUACCAUACAACCUAUCUCUAAAAAAAAAAAAAAAAAAAAAACUGCCCAUAAAACAAAGAACACUAAAACAACACGGUAAAUUAUAGCAAAAAAAAGCUUUUUAUGAUAUAAAACCUCCUUUUUGACACCUAUAAUGUACAUACGCUAUAGUGUUUCAUUCAACUUUAGUUAGUGUAGGAGUUUUUUUAUUAAAUCAAAUAUUAUGUGGUAUAAUUGGUGAUUGAUUGAAUUAUUUGAUGUAUGAUUGAUCUGCGACAUGUAGGGACAUGAUAUAUCCCAACUGUUUCAAUUCUGACCACCACUACAACUUAAAUCAUGCAGUUGCUUACCUUCCUUACAGCCUAUUUAAAUUUUUAUUUUUUAAUUUAAAUAUUUACAACACUAAGAAAGUUCUGCGAGAAGCUUACUUUUCGUUACUUCUGUGAAAUUAUUGACGUUUAAGUUGCUAGACAACCAUGUCUCAUUAAGUGACCUGAUUAAAUAGGUAUAGAUUUUAUUUUAUUUUAUUUUUUUUGCCAGAUUAAAAUUCCAAUGCUUCUGCUGCAUCAUGAAGCAGAAGUGAGAUCUCGAGUGAGAGGUCCCAAUUUGCUUCUUCUAAUUCUAUAAAGAAAGAAGUUAGCGGUGUCAUCUGUAAUAUUUCUCGUCGUAACACAAGUCAAAUAGCACUCUCGUCGAACAAUACUAAACAGAUUGCUAAUUUAGUUCUAAAUUAAUUUCGCGUUUGAGAGAACACAUUUCCCUUCAUACGUUCAAAAAUGACCGAAGUGAACGGUAUUCAGAAGCUUUUGCAUUAACGCCACAAAUUCAUGAUAGCAACAACGUCACGUGCCAAGGUGGCCUCGCGAGUCUCUUCUCAGCCACGAGUUCCCCCCGCCACGUCACCCCCCGCGCGGGUCCCACCUCGACAACGGGGCGGGUUUGUGGGUGCGCUUUCGCACGCCCGCUUCGCGCCUCCACAGCCUCAAAUUCCAAAAAGCCGCUUCUGUGGCUAAGAAAAGCGCUUCCCAAAAAGCGCGAGAGCCCCAGAGCCCACCACUAUCCUUCCGCCACGUGUCACCCCCUCCCCACCUCCCUGGCCCCUUCCCAGCCCCAAGUUCGCAGGGGUCCUGGGGACCCUCCCCACUGUUUCCCCCCCUCGUAGUAUUUAUGACCCCGAAUUUGAUUCGCGACACUUUCCCUUCGCGGCAAGAACACGAGGCUGAGCAAACUCGUGGCUGUGAUCGCUCGAGCUUCUCCAAGCAAGAGAGAGAGAGAGAGAGAGAGAGAGAGUUGAGGUGGAGAGUACGCGAGGUGCUCUAGGGUUUAGGUUUUGCCGAAUCAGUUAGGCCACCGUCUCCUCCCUACAUCCAUAUGAAUACCCCCUGCGAAACCCUAGCCAUCGACGUUCCUCGGCUCUUCGACGCCGAGUGAGAAGAGCUCGCUCCCGAAGGUGCGCUUUUUUGCCUCGGUUCAAUUCCCGCUCGUUCUUGCUACUGUUGAACUGUGCUAUUGUGCUGUGCGGCGCUCUAUGCAGUGCGUGCGAGAAGAGAAAUGAGGUGUUGUUGUCGCGUUAUCGAACGAUCGGUCGUGGAUAAGAACGCGGCGGCUGCGCUCUCUUUCGAUGAUUUCGAGUUAAAAGAAGUUGAAUUUGAGAGGGGACUUAUUUCCUAACUUGAUGAAUCGCGGCGAUGGAGACGUGCUCUGCCGGGGAGGACAUAACCGCAAAGGUCUUCUUUGUAACCAUGGUUAUUAGUGUGUGAUUUGGUUUGUUUUGAUGUUUUUAUUUGGUUUUUGUUGAUAGAGGAGGAAGCCGUACACGAUUACGAAGCAGCGGGAGAAGUGGACAGAGGAGGAGCACAACAAGUUUCUGAAAGCCCUGAAACUUUAUGGCAGGGCGUGGCAGCGCAUACAAGGUAAAUUUCGAAAAGAAUUUCAUGUAUCAUAUAAUAAACUCUGUUUGUGCUUCGCAAGUUCUUUUUUUUGCUACAAGAAUUGAAGGCAUCAUGUUAGAACUUGUAGAUUGUAAAGAGGAGGAUCAGAUAAACUGACGAGAGUACUUCGCUACAGGAGAGUUAAAAUAUGUGAUUCAUUCCUAAUCUUUUUUUUCGCAUUAUUUUAUCGAUAACAACUGGCAUAGCUGAUUCGUGGAAAAAUUUACAUCGAUACAUUGUGCAUGUACAGUUUCUGCUGUCACAUAAAUCACGAGUUAUUGUGUUUCUUAGUAAAAUCCCAAAAGAACUGAUAUAUGAGCUUUUAAUCAUCAAAAGGAAAUUGAAAAACUUCCCGACACUUGCUGCUAGGGUUUACGUUGCGAGGGAUUGUCUUGCCUUGUCUAACCUUGCAGUAUCCCAGAUGCAAAUGACCAAUUAUAGUUUCCUUCCGUUUAUAUGGAUUUAGCAUGUAGGUUUAUCUUAAUACCUAACUAUUAUUCACAUCUGCACACUGCCGGGUUCGUACUAACAUGCUGUGGGUACGCGGUGUGCCGUGAGUUCAAAGUGUGACAAGGCGCGUGUUUGGUGGAGCUUGCCUAAUCACAUGUUCACGACCAGGUAGUUCACACCAAAUUUUUCCAUGUUAAGAGCUUAUCUCUAUAUAACGAUCUCUGAAACCCUGUUUAAGAGAAAGGUCUGCCCAUAUUGUGUGGUUUAUAGUGGACAUACUAAUUAAAGAACCGGCAAAAUGAAAUAAGUUAACAAAGUAGUAAUUUUGAGCCAAGAUUUUGGCAAAUCGCAGUGUGUUUCUGCCUAGUCUGUUUUAGUCAAAACUAGCGAGACUUAGCUAAGCUAAAAUUUGGAAUCAAGAAAAGCAUAUGUUUUGUUUCCCUAGCAUGGUAAUUCACUAUGUGGAAGAGGAUAUAAACCUCAAAGAAGAGAUUUGAAGAUCUUUAACAUUUGAAACACUCCUUUAGAGCUUAAUUAGUCAUUUUUACAAAUUUAUUUCAUAUUGCAAAAUUUUCUCAACUUCUUUUACUUGAUUUGUACACUGUUGCCUCCUUUUCAAUGUAAGUACCAUGUAGUCGUAAUUGAUCUUCACGUAAUGGAAUUCUUAUUUUAAACAUCACAUUCUACAAGUUUGUGCUGUGUUUACGCUUACAUAAGCGACCAAUAUUCUCUCUAUGUGGCCUUUGAGCUAAAAUUAAAUUUGUCAGGCUGCUAACGUGUAAUAUAAUUUAUGCAAACGGGGAUAAAUAGAGUGUAACAAAUCCAUAUGGAUAGAGGUAAUAUAAUAUCUAUGAAGAAACCCCAGGCACCAGGCCUCAGGUUUAAUAUAUUAGGUUCUUGGAUGGGUUGUUUCCAGGGUGUGUGGCCUACAGGGAAGUUUAAAAAACAAAGGACAGGGAAGUUUAAAAAACAAAGGACAAAAAAAGACUGAUAGUCAAAUAUAUUAAGAAUCCUAGUGAAUUACAAGAUUAGAGUAUUUGUACUCAACUAUCAACUGUGUUUUCAUAUUUGUGGUGUCUAGAAUUUUUGUAUUGACAACAAAAUAUGCAAGCCUCUAAAUGCAACAAAGUUUGUUGUUUUUCUUUUGAUAUUCCUCUCUUUUUUAUUUUGUUUCUUUCAUAUUUUUGGUCUUCGGGAAAAAUGCCGAAACCAAUCUGAAAUUGUUAAAAUUGUUGAAAUUGUCAAAAAGUGAUAUACACUACUCUCGGCUGAAACUGCUAGAGAAACCAUACCCCACUUUGGCCCAUUAAUUGCUUCUUUUCUCUUUGGUUUUACCUUUAAAUUGUUUAGAUAUAUAGUUUCUUUAAAAAAAAAAAGAAAAAAGACAUACAUCCUCUCUAUAUCUUGUUUGAUAGAGAAUGUUUUUAUCGACGAUCAGUAAAUUGAAAUAUUAGAUUUUCAGGCUUCAUUGUUUUAUAUUUGUCCUGCAGUUGCUUGCUAUACUAUAUUGGUAACUUAGUUUUACUGUUUUGUAUCUUGAUGUCCACUUUACAGAACACAUUGGUACAAAGACGGCUGUCCAAAUCAGGAGUCAUGCACAAAAGUUUUUCUCAAAGGUUAGAAAGAAAUUUCCUCUUGCUUACACUGCAUUUACUUCAGAGUUUGUUUACUUGUUUAUACCUUGACCAAAAAUAUAAUUUAAUUUCAAUUAUUUCACUGUUGUUAUUUGUUGUUAUUUCUAGUUUACUGUUUUUUAUUGUCUCACAAUUAGAAUAGUGAAGAACAAGUUACAUGUUUGCUAUCUUUGACGAUUCUGAAACUAUACUCAUUUGUUUACUUGUUUAUACCUUGACCAAAAAUAUAAUUUAAUUUCAAUUAUUUCACUGUUGUUAUUUGUUGUUAUUUCUAGUUUACUGUUUUUUAUUGUCUCACAAUUAGAAUAGUGAAGAACAAGUUACAUGUUUGCUAUCUUUGACAACUGUGAAUGAAUUGAUAUCUUGAUAAAUCAAGUUACAAAUGAGUAUAGUUUCAGAAUCUUAUCUAGGCAGCUUAGAAGUUGGGUUUAGAUCAGCUUACUCUGCAACGAGACUGAUGAAACCCCAUUUUAAAGUCUAUCUCAUAAAUUAACUGAACUCAAACAAGUGGUUAUAUAGAGGACUUAGUUCAGCUCACCCAAAAAUAUUGGCUCGUGUCAAGUGCUAUGCUACCCUCACUUAAACAUGUUGUUUACGGCUUAAACGCAAUCAGAGACUAAAAGCUGAUCCUGCUGAUUUGAGCCUGAGCAGCCUGAGAUUUGGUUUUCGUUUUUAGACCUGGCAGAGCAUACCUCCACUUUGGAAAGCAGAAAAUAAUGCUGCACUGUUCCAAAAUAUCUGUAAAUGGAUGAAAUAUUAAAUUAAAGUAUUUUUCCUUGAAAAACAAAAUUAGUUAAACAGAUUAAGAAGCAACUUUAUUUCAUUUACAAAUUAGAGAUUAAUUCUUACAGAAUAUUGAGAUGAACAGCAUACUUAAGGGGCUGCUUGGUUGGACAGAUUUAGUAAAGUUGGCUCUCUACACAUUCUUAAAUGAGUUUUAUCAAAUUACUCCAUGCAUUCUUCUCAUCAAGCCAUUCUUAAUGAGCUCCAUGAAGUUGUUGUAUAACGAAACAUUAUGUCCUCGUUAGUAAAGAUGAUUUAAUUGAGCUGCAGUUGGAGAAAGAAGCUCUAACAAAAGGAACUCCUGUGGGGCAAAGUCAUGACAUAGAAAUCCCUCCUCCACGCCCCAAAAGGAAAUCAACUUGCCCGUAUCCUCGAAAUACUGCUGCAGGUUCCCUCUCUCCACUUGAAGAAGCAAAUGAUGGAAAAGCAUUACAUUCCACUCCUCUCAGAAGUGGCAAACAGGUGCUUUGUGUUGACGUCGAUACUUCUCAUGAGGUAAAUUUCUCCAGAUUUAGACUUUUUUGUCCCUUUUUUUCUGGAAUAAUAUUAAUGCUGAUACAUCUUAAUCAUAACUAGAAGCUUCCUGCGACAGAAGCACACCAAAGGAAAAAACAGCCAUCUGAAGCUGGCAGCAGCUCAGAAGUAUUUCACCUUUGCCAGGUAUUGAAAAUAUUACCUUUUGUAAACGCUUGGACUAGAAAAAUAUGGUUUUUUAACAUUGGUUUAGUUAUGAUUAUUCCUUCAAGUUCGAUCAACAUUAGAUUUCAGCUGCAUAGUAGCUGCAUAGUUCAAUUGCGACAAUUUAUCGUCCAAAGAAUGUUUUGCGUAACAAUAAAGUCCUAUUAAUACUGUCUAAAAAAUGUGACACAACAACACCAUCAUUAGAUUUUGCUUUGUUAGAGUUGACACUUUUGACAAUGAAAUUGAAAUCGAGGUCAAACUUCAUUGACGAGUUAACUUUGAAAUUGGAGUCAUACUUUGAGGAUGAGUUGUGAUAAUUGUGACUUUAAGAGUAGGCUCAAGAUUAUUAGUAUUCCCAAGACACGUUCUUUGAAUUAAAUGGGUGGAGGUUUUCUUUUAGAUGUGGGUGUGUUUGGUUCCACGUAAAACUGUGGAAAAAAAAAUUUCGGUGGAAAAUUUUUUUUAUGUCGUUUAGGGCAUGUUUGUGUCAGCGAAAGUGGACUUUGGGUUGAAGUGGAGUUCGGUGAAAACUACUUCUCCACUGUUUGUUUUGUAGUUAUGGAAGUGAAAUUUAUUAGUUCUGCUGUUUGUUUGAUAGGAAGUGUAUGAUAUAAAAUUAUAAUUUAUGUAUAAAUAAGAAAUAAUUUAAUAAAUAAAAAUAAUAUACUUAUAUUUUUAUAUAAUUAAAAUUUAAUUUAAAGCAACUAAAUUUUUUUAUAUAUAUAAAUUAUAGUAAUACAACAAUAAAAUUAUAAAGUAAAAAAAUAUUAAUAUUUAAUUAAUCAAUUUUUAUUAUAUUUUAAUUGUACAAAUUAAAUUAAAAAUAUUAAAACUUGACUAAUCAAUUUUUAUCAUAUUUUAAAUAUGCCAAAUGAAUAAAAGAAUAAUUAGAACCAUAAUUAAAUAUAUUUAAAUAUAACUACUAUCUUUACCUUUAAUAUUAUUUUAGUUUUUUUUUUUCACCUUCCUUCACCAUAAUUGACUUCGACCCACGAUAGGCCGAAGUCAAUUACGCCGUUUUAGGUUAACCGGAGUUUUGGCUGUAAUUGUUUUACAGCGAACCAAACAACGGAAGUGGUCAGUUUUCACCGAAAAUCACCUCCUCCCUCCCACUUCCACCCUACUUCCUUGCAAACAAACAGACCCUUAGUGUUUGGUUUGUAGGAAAAGAAAAAUACUUUUCCAUGACGGUUGUUUGGUUAAAAGGAAAAAAAUAGAUGAAAGACUAUUCAAUAUAUUUUUUUUAUUGUAAAUAUUAUUAAUAUAUAAUAAUUAAUAUACGAUAUAUAUUAUUAUUAUUAUUAUUUUUAUAGAUUAAAUAUAUUUAAAAUUAUAAAAUAUAUAUUACAUAAAAUAUAAGAAUUAUAUAUUUAGAAAUAUUAAUAAAUAAUUAUAAAUUUAUAAAUAAAAUAUUAUAUAAUUAUACCUCUAUAUAAAAAUAAAAUACUAUAUAUAUAUAUAUAUAUAUAUAUAUAUAUAGGUCGUGGCUACUAUACUAUUAUGAGUAUUGGAGACCUUGUACUCAUAAGUUGUUUUCAAUGGACAAUGGAGCUUCCGAAUCGACAAUCCACUCCGUUAAAUAUGAUCUAGACUAUUUGAAACUUUUAGAAAAUAAAUUUCGUAAAUUUUCAAAAUCAUAAUAAAAUCCGUCAAGUGGGCAUAAAAUGAACGGUCAAAAUCAAACGACGUUCUAAAAAAGGAUGAUCGGAUCGUUCAAUUCAAGAUCGGAGUUAUUGAUCUUUAUAUAUGUAGUGAAUAGAAUUUUCUAUCAAAAAUUCAACAAAUUUCGAUUCUUUUACACCGUUAAACUAGCAAGUAUCCCAUACCGACCGUUAAAAAUUGUCACAUUUGUGACCUCUUGAUCGUAAGGUAAAUGAUGUCGAAAAAUUAUAAAAUUUGAUUUCUAGAAGUUUUAAAUGCUGUAAAUAACGUUUAACGGUGUGGAUCGUCGAUUCGGACGCUCUAUCAUCGAAAACAACUUAUGAGUACGAGGGCGAUCGUACUCAUAAUAGUAUAGUAGCCGGACCCUCUCUAUAUAUAUAUAUAGAAUUAGGCUACUAUACUAUUUAUAGUACCGGAGCUCCGGUACUAUAGUCUUAUUUUCGAUCUUAGGGUGUUCAAAUUAACGAUCCACACUGUUAAAUAUGAUCUAGGGUAUAUGAAGUUCUUAAGAAUAAAAUUUUAGUUUUUUUUUACAUUGUUUAUUUAGUAAAUAAAUUAUGUCAAAAUGGACGGUGGAAAUUGAAUAAUCUUUAAAAUUUGAGCAUAGAACUUUUAAAUUCAAGAUCAAGAAUGUUAACCUUAAUCUAGAUAGUUUAAAGUAUUUUCUAUCAAAAUUUGAAGAAAUUUAGAUUCUUCUACACCGUUAAACUCCAAACUCGCCAUAGUAGCCGAUGAAAAUUGACAAUUUUGAAAUGGUUUGAUCAUAAAGUAAACUAUGUUGCAAAAGUAUAAAAUUUUAUUUCUAAAAACUUUAAAUACCCUAGAUCAGUUUUAACAGUGUGGAUCGUUGAUUUGAACACCCUAAGAUCGAAAACGAGACUAUAGUAUCUGAGCCCCAGUAUUAUAGAUAGUAUAGGAGACUAGCUCUAUAUAUAUAUAUAUAUAUAUAUAUAAUGAGAGGGAGGUCUACAGUGGACCUCCCUUUCACGCGGUCCACGAGGCCGAAGUGGCCUAGUGGACCGCGACGAGGCCGAAGUGGUCUCGUGGAUUGCGCAAAAACGUGGCCAUGAGCCGCGCUUUUUCCUUCGCCCUUUUCGUUUUCCGUCGCUCGCCCGCGGAAAACGAAAUGGAGGAUUUUCUCCAAAUAUGUAAAACUAGGUUUCACCGAAAUUUUUUUUUACAUCCAACAAAACACUUGGAAAACAUUUUUCAACUGAAAAAUUGUUUUCAGCCUAUUUUAACAUGGAACCAAACAUAGCCUAAGUGCACCAGAAAACUAUAACCAGUCCCAUCUCUCUCCAAACCUAAUGCAACUUCCUAGGAAGAGAGUGAUUGAGAGUAGAUGUGCCUCAUGGCAUUCGGACUCGGAAUUAUUUGAUUUGUUAUUAUGUGAGACAACCAAUUUUUCCUAAAAGUUUAAGCUACAAGAGAGUAGUGUUUUAAUAUAAUUAUAUUAAUACACUCCACACAGGUUGCUCCGGGUGCUUCCAUCUCCUCAGCGAACAAGAGCUCAUCAAACACUUGUACUUUUAAGCACUAUAUUCCCCUUGUGGAAGGAGGAGAUGAGAAAACCGCUCAAAGCGAAACGUCUCAGAACUUCCAAGAAAAGCAGGAACAGGUGAAGAGUGCUUCCUACACAGAUGCUGAUAAUCAUGGUCAAAACGGAGUUUACGUGAACUGGAAGGAGAAAUUAACUUACAAAAAGAAGCUGGACGUGAGAGAGCAGCGAACAAUUCGUGGCCCACUUCUGAACAACGAUCUGCGAGGAGCUCAAUGCUACUCGAAGCAUGUCCCGGAGCAAUUCAUGAGCCGCAAGAACAAUGAGAGCAGCAAGCAAUCUAAUUUUUCUGGUAACUAUGCUCCUACGAAAACCGACGUUCAAGUUAACACAUCUCAAACAAAUCCUACUACCGUGCCUGAGCAUAAUCACAACAUGAACUCUACUACGAUGCCUUCUGCUGAUCAACCAUGUUCAGUAUUUGUGCCUUUUACACAAUCGGGCAGCAACCAAGAUGCUUCUAGAACCUUUCUGUCGCCCUCAUCUUCGAGUCUCAUGGUAUCUAACUUGCUGCAUAAUCCAGCAAUUCAUGCAGUAGCCAGCCUCGCAGCUUCAUAUUGGUCGUCGAACAACUCAAAUGCCUCAAGCAGUUCAACCCUAGAAAAUAAUGGGGCAGUGCCAAAUGCACAAGUGAACUCGUCCCCGAGCAUGGUGGCAAUGGCUGCCGCCACCGUGGCAGCGGCAUCUGCCUGGUGGACGAGUAAUGGUCUGUUGCCGCUCUUCCCUCCUGUUCAGCCUGCCUUCAUUUUUCCUCCAAUGCAAACUAUGCCAAUCUCCGCAAUGGACAUGACUCGAGCUCCAGAGCAUAAAGAGGAAAAGAAGGAUGAUAGAGGUCACAAGCUUACACAGCACAAUGCGGUUUCUAAAGCAUUAUCAUCAGAGUCAGAUGAAAGUAGAAGAGAUGAAACAUUGCGGCAAGCUGCGCUGAAAUCUAUGAUAACUAAUAAGCCUAAAUCCAGACUUCACGACUCCGAUAAAGCGGCGUUAAGGACUCCAAUUCGCUCUUCUAAUGGUUCUAACACGCCUUCAAGCGGUGAUGUAGAAACUGACGGUAUGAAAAGGAAACUGCAAAGGGAGGUCAAGGACAAAGAUGAGCAAAUACAUCUUGUUAAAAAUCAUCUCCCUGAGGAGACGAGCAAUUACCAGAAUUCUAGCAAAGAAAUGCUUGAUGAUUCACGCAAGGUCUCUGGAUAAGUUUUCUAUAUUUCUGAUUGUUCCUCAUUCUUUGGUUGAAAACCUGUGUUCAACACUAAUCCUCCAAUAUCCUCUUCCUUUUCCCAGGGUCGACCUGCCUCUCUGGAGCUGUUUACUGGCGAAAACUUGCGAAAAAUUCCUUCACUGCCGCCACAGAGCGAAGAUAAAGAAGCCACUGCCUUGAUGGUGGACCUCAUUGGGGAAGCAUUUCGAUUGAGUACUAAAGUUACGGCCGAACCUGAAGAGCAUUCUAAAAUGAACGAAAUUGAACGCGUGAAGCUGAAGUCGAGUCGAAGAGCAUUCAAGCCUUACAAGAGAUGUUCGGUGGAAGUAGACAACCAAGCAACAACAAAUGAAGAUAGCUCUGACAAGAGAUUACGUCUGGGGGGAUAAACAUUACGACGACGGUUUGCAUGCGAAAAUAUGCAUUAUUUGUAGUUUGGGUUCUUCUCUACAAAUAAUAAUUUGUGUUAGAUUUUUAGAAAUAAUUUGCGUUAUAUUGUAGUUUAAUUUAGUUGUUCUAUCUUUGGUGCUUCCUUUCGACUGAUCAUAAUUACAAUCCUUUUUGGAGAUAUUGAACAUAACAUGAUUGCUGAGGGGGGCAAACUCUUGCCUUUUAGGACUAUUUGUGCACGUCGUAACGAAGUUUGCAUAACCUCUUUAAUCAUAACAAUACAUCAUAUUGUUUUGCAUUUCCUUUUUUCUCACUUUGCCUGUGUACUCCUAUGACAAAUUCUUUUUAAAAAAAAAAAAUUAAAGAAACAAAAAAAAAAAUUAUUUGUUGUCAAAUAAACAGCUUGAAGUAUUGUAAGUAAUUCAUCAUCUACUCCUACGCUGUUUUACGUAUUAAAUUUUAUUAUAAUAUAUAUAAAAAAAGAAAGCAAUGCCAAAUGGGAUAUUGAUUUUCGAGAAUAGCAUAACCUCCUAACCAUGGUAAUGGUAAUGUAACAUUUCCGUUAGUUGAGAAUCCAUAGUGAUUUCACAAAUUCCUCAAGAACUUUAAUCACUUUGCAACUUGCAUUCAAGAUAAUAAUCUAAAAUUUUAAAACAAAAAGAAUCACAAAUUCUGAACAGAACGACCCUAAAUGGAUAAACUGAAGGCAAUUUCAAAAGUUUAAUUUUACUGUGCAACCCUUUAGUUUGAUUAAUUUGAAUUAGUCAAUGAUAUUUUCACUCCAAAAUUUAAACUAAUUAUUUAUUUUAAUAAUUUUAUAAUUAUCAGAAUGGUAUGAAAUAUACUAACUUGUAAAAAUAAAAAAAAUUUAUUUAAAUUUUAAAGCAAAAAUAUUAUUGACCAAUUCAAAUCAAUUAAACUGAAAUGUUGGAUAAUAAAAUUAAAAUGGUAGAACGUCAAAAGUCGUGUCAAAAUAAUUUAUAAUUUAAAUAAAUUUUAUACAUUUAUUUUUUUUAAUAUUUGCAUGCUAAAUUUACGGUAUAAAAUAUUAUUUAUUAAAAAAAAGGAAAAGAAUGUUGGUUGGAGUUGCGCUGAAAAUGCAUUUUUUCUUGUAGCGUAAGAAAAACCCCGCGAUGGACAAGAAUUGCAGAAGAAGUCCUGAGACUGUCCGCAGUCCCCUCGCAAAGUCGCAGCUGCCAGCCCUCCCCUGUCAAAAAGAAAUCCGACAGACAUCCUUAAAUUCGGGGGAUGCGAUCCUGCCCUCCUCGGCGAAACACAAAACAGCGAAUCCAACAGCCAUACAUACUCCUUUGUGGGGCCCACCAACCACCGCUAAUUAGCGACUGUGCUGCCAACAAAAAAAAAAUAUGGGUGAAAAACAAUUUUCAAAGCACGAUCAUUUUAUUCGUCAUCCUUUAUUAUAUAGGCGACAUAAGUUUAAAAUUACGUAAACGACGUAUAAGGUAAUCUCCGGACGGACCGUUUCUUUGACUGCAUGAUAAGGCUAACAAUCUAACUCGAUCUUUGACGGCAUGAUAAGGCUAGCAAUCCAACUCGGCAAUCGCAAGCUAGCUACUGCUCGAAAUGAGAUCAAAAUGGAUUGCUCGUUUAAUAAAUGAGUCGAAUGCUAAGCUAAAUUUUUCAGCUCGAAAUCUUAACGGCCCGAAUAUGAGCUAGGGCAAGUUUGCUUAUGUUCAACUCAAUAUAGCUCAUAGUCUCGUUCAUCUGUAAUUCAGGUUGUAAUCUUUGAAGUUGAACACGAGUUGAGGGGGUGGCAGGAGAGAAUUUCCUAGCCUCGCGCGAAGCUGCCGCCGCUCCCUCUAUUUCUACUUCGCCCAUGGAGGGUCGGGGCAGUGGGGCGAGGCGGUGGUGGCGGCGUAGAUCUAAGAUGGAGGGUGAGGGAGGAGGAAGGGGUUGGAAUGGAAAAGGAGGAGCUCUGAUGGGGAAAGGACAAAAGAAAGAAAAAAGAGAAAAACGGGGACUGCUUCUAACGUAGCAGUCCGUUACAUCUCUCCUCCAUUAAAUCUGACACGAAUCUCAGAGCAGAUCUGAUGAAGGAGAACUAAUGACUAGUGCAGCUACUAUACUCAUAAGAGUAUAGUAACUGCACUCUAUAUCUAUAAUAGUCUUAUGUGUUAUUAGGAGUAUGAAUGUUUUCGUACUACUAAGCCAUUUUCGAUGAUGGGACUUCUGAAUCGACGAUCAACUCCGUUAGACUUGAUUUAGCAUAUUUAAAUUACUUAGAAAAUAAAUUUUGUGAUUCUUUGAUAUUAUUUAUUUUGUGAUUAAAAUGACUGAGAAUCAAUGGUUGAAAAUAAAAUUUCACAAAAAGAUAUAAGAUAGUACUAAAAUUUUUAUCAGAGAUAUUAAUCUUGUUGUAAGUAGUAUAUAAAAAAUUUUUAUUAAAAUUUCAUCUGAUUUGAAUACUUCUGUUAAUUAAACUUGCAAACGGCACAAAUCAACCAUUAAAAAUUGUUGAUUGUGAAACUUUUUGAUCUCUAUAUAAAUGAUAUCAAAAAAUCGUAAAUUUUUUUUUUCUAGAUAGUUCAAAUAUACUAGAUCAAGUUUAAUGGAAUCGAUUGUUGAUUCGAAAACUCCAUCAUCAAAAACGGCUUAGAACCACGCCUUUAUACUCCUAAUAGUAUACAAAACCUACUCUCUCUCUCUCUCUCUCUAUAUAUAUAUAUAAGCUAGGGCUACUAUACUUGUAUGAGUAUAGGUCCCUUUAUACUCAUAAGAUUUCGAUCAUUGGAUAAAGGGAUGUGUGGUUAGGAUGAUAGUGGUAUCCGGCUAGGAUAAUAAUGAUUCCCUAAGGUUGAGUGGGUUGUUUGUUGAAUAAUAUAAUUUAACGGGUGUAAAUGGUCAAAGAAGUAGAUCUAAUGACUAAAAAUUUAUGAGUACAAAAGGGUCUAUAUUUAUAAAAGUAUAGUAGCCGAACUCUCUCUCUAUAUAUCUAUAUAUAUAGAGAACUAGGCUGGUAUACUAUAGGUAGUACGGAGGUCUUCGAGCUACUAAGUUGUUUUCGAUGAUACGGCUUUUAAAUCAAUGAUUGAAUUCAUUAAAUUUGAUCUGCACUAUUAAAAAUAUUUAGAAACUAAAUUUCAUAAUUUUUUGAUAUUAUUUUCAGCCAUUCAUUUUAAGACUAAUCAUUUACUAGGCAAAUGAAGUCAAACAGUUAUAAAAUUUGAUUUCUAUAGUUCUAAUAAUUAUUUAGAUCAUGCCUAAUAGAGCCGAUCGUCAAAUCGGAUGUCCCAUCAUUAAAAACAACUUACAAGCACGAAAACCUCCAUACUUUCGAAUGCGCAGGACUCUCUCUCUAUAUAUAUAUAUUACGACUUCUACUAUUUGAAUUUUAGUGCACCUAAAAUAUAAAAACACCUAUAUUUUGUGAAUUUUAUUUAUUAGGUUCAAAUUUUAAUUUUUCAAAAUUUAUAUUCAAUUUUUUGCUCAGUAGUAAGGCCGGCAAUGUAGCUUCCUGUUCGCGAGCCAUUUAACUUGUUAAUAAACAAGCGAAUACAAAACUAUAUCUUUUUAGUUCGAUAUUUUAUUAAGCCGGCUCUAGCUCGCUCGUGUUCGGCUCGUUGUCGACCGAAGAAGAGUUAGAAAUUUUUGGUGGAGAAAUAUGUUUGCUGUGUGGGUCAGCAGAGCAUUUUCCUGACAACAAAAAUGCCUCAAAACUUGCAUCGCCAGCCCAGCAGUCGCAGCACGCAGUCGCGCAUCUGAAACGACCUCCAACAUUCAAUGCCCCCUCAAUCACCGUACGUAAGGGACAAAAAAAUAAAUAAAUACAUAAUCGUACCAUGUGUACUACUCUGGUUUCUAAUCUUUUAUUUUUUAUUUAAAAUUAAUUAUAUAUAUAUACCUUUCAAAAAUUUUAAAAUAUUUUAUAUAUUUUAAUUUUUUUAAAUAUAUGUUUCGUGUAUUUCUUUGUUAUUCAUAAAUAACUCUACACUGUAAAUACGGUUAAGUUAUCUCGGAUUAAAUUCAAAUUAAAUUUCUAUCAGAAUUAAAAAUAAAUUAAAAUAAUUUUUUAUCUAUAAUUAAAAGAUAAAUAAAAAAAUUAGUGAUAAUAGAAAGGUAUAUUUGAAAUGACAAAAAGUCAAAAUAUUUUUUUUUUCACUACUUAAAGGACAAAUAAGAAAAAUUGAUAACCGUAAAAAUAUAUAUUUAAAAGAGCAAAAUAAUAAUUUUAUAAAAAUAAUGAUUAAUUCUAACAGUUCACUAAUAAAAUAUAACUGUAGAAAUAUAUUUGAAAGAAAGCGUACGUUUUAUAUUAGCCUUUUAAAUAGGGAAGAAAAUAAUAAAGUUUGAAACUUUUCGGUGGAUAUAAGCAAUUGCCUCUUUCUUAAUUCAAAAUUUAUAAUCUUUGAAAUUAAUUGUACAAACGAUUCCUAUUAUUUUUUAUUUUUUUUGAAGUUUGGUCUCAAAUCCCUUCUUUAAUAUUCGUGUGCCCAUUGUACCAAACUCAAUCUCAUUAAAAUUUUUUUAUGUAUUGUUUUCCUUUUAAAACAUGCGCUAUUCGUGAGUGAAUCGUAAUUAGUAUCGAACUUUUUCAUAAAACUAAAAAGUUAAGAGAUUGAUAUAAAUUUGGAAGGUUAGGAUUUAAUUAAAAUAAAAUACAAAGGAUAGGAAUCCAACUAUCCAAGCCUGGAAAAAGAAAAACAAAAGUAGGGGCUAAAGUGAAAAAUGGUUAAGGUUAGCGGCGCGUGGUGCAAUUAACCAAAAGAUCCUCAGGUAUCAAGAAAUUGUUGGAUGUACCAGGUGCACCACGUCAUUCGUGAACCAUCCAAAAUUAAUUCUUGUACCUAGCCCGUGUGGUCGUGGAAUUUAAUAUAUAUUUUUUAAAUGACAUAACGCUUACACAAAAUAAUAUUAUUUCGUAUGAAAAUACUAUAUUGUUAGGUACCAUGAGGUUUUAGAAAAGGUCAAAAAUAUAAAAAACCACCGCUUUUUUACUCUCUCUUUUCGACUGUUAAAAAUUUAUAUAUUUUUAAAAUUUAAAAAAUAUUUUCAGUGGGUAUUCGAUUAAUGGAGAGGACAAAAUAACUAAAUUAUCCUUAUUUUUUUAUAAAAAAUAAUUUUUUAAUAUAUUUUUGUUAUUUUGAAGAAUACUUUCGAUAUAAAUUAUUAAAAUGGACGAAAUAGUGAUGAAACCAUGACGGAGGAGGUUUAAAUGCAAUAAUUUAAAAUGUUGAAAAGAUAAUAUAUAGAUUUCUGGAAGUUAGAAAGGUAAAGUAAAAAAACAUGUACUUAAUUUUAAGAGAAUUUUUUAUAAUUUAACCUUUAGGAAAAUAUAUAGAUCUCAUUUUUUUUGGUUAUUUUUAUGUUAAGAUUGUAGGAUUUAGAUCAUGUUGGUGCAUAAUUAUCUCAUUCGAUAUAACUUUAUAAUUUAUUUCAGAAGUUUGUAUAUAUUGGCAAAUGUGCAGAAUUGAAUACUAUAUUCAACAUUUAAAUUAUUUUUUUGUAUAACAUAAAUCACCAUAUACAUAAAAUAUGCUAUGCUAUGAAAUCAUGAAUGUCAAAAACUUUUAAAGAGUAAAAAUUAAUUAAUUAAUUUUUUUAUAAUAAUACUUGAAUAAGUUAUGUUUGGAUAGCUCACUUCAACUUUCAAACAAGACUUGGUUGGGUGACAAAUAUGUCAUUGUCUUUUUGUUUUUUACUUUAUUUGUGAAGCCAAGAAAUUCCCUUGAGGACCAUUAGGUUACCUUAUUGUAAGGCAUAUAUAGCCUUUUGCCUUUUCUUAGAAUCUCAUAGCUUUUCUCUCCAUGGCCAAUCCUACUUUUGUUUGAUGUCAAAUUGCAAAGAUUAAUUCUCAUCUCUUUGCAUCCUCUUUUAAUCCAUUUGGACUCGCAUAAUUUCCUUCUUUAAUUCGCUUUGUUUCCCGAUUAUUUUUUAUCCCUCAAAAUUCAAAUCAGAAACGAUGAUGUCUCUGCUAUUUACAUAAUCACUUUCUUUUCUUUUGAUUCAUCUUAUAAUCAAUAUUACUGUUUAAAACAGUUGAUCGGUAUUUCGAAUUAUAUGUCACUUAGUGAAAAAAAAAUAAAAUUAGACGAAUUUUUAGAGAAAAACCUACCAAUUUAUUCAUAGAUAAAACAAAUUAAUAAUAGUAACCUAAUGGUCCAUUCCAAAGAUUUUAGUUAGAACAAGGUGCCCCUUAAGAUUUAUCUCUUUUUGAUAGAAUCCCAUUUAGCCACUAUAUAUGGAAUCACAGCCAAAAGUUUUCUUUAGAAAAAUGUGCCUUAAAAUAUGCAUAUCUCUAAGAAAGCAUAUUUCACCCUUUUGAUUGCCUUUUUUGUAUAAAUAUAAACUUCCCAAAUAAUAUUACCUUUAUUAUUAUGUAUAAUAAACUACAACUUUAUCUCAUUGCCUCUUUUGAUUAUACUAAGCAAAAUUAAUUGCCUAUGUCAAUGUGAAAGAUGCCUUGCUCUUCUAUAAUUGUGUAGCUAGGAGAUUAAGAUAUCUUAAGCCAAUACUUUUUAAGGUUCUGCGACCGAUAUGUAAAUUCUAUAAUAAACUCAGAUAAAAAUAUAAGGUAAUUACAAUUCGAACUCGAAGUCUCGGAUACUAACUAUCAAUUUCUUAGACAAUUAUGUUAGAUACAGUCGGUAGUAUGUAUAGUUCUGUUUGUUAACAAAAAUGUACAAUCAACAUGUUAUGCUGUUAAAAAUUAUAUUGAAAUCUCAAAAUGUAACUAUCUAUAGUAAAAAUUCUAAGCAUUUAAACCUAACUUUCGAUACUCCUUUUUGAGCAAAUGUAAAUUUUGACGCCCAACCACUUGAAUAAUUAAACAUUUAUGUAUCAUAUAAUUUUGCAUAACUAAUAAAAUUCUUAAUCCUUGAUUGUUUUUUGAAAGUUUGAUAAAUACAGUUCUAUAUUUGUUUAAGUACUGCGAUGCUUAUUGAUGGAUAUUGGAGAGUUAAUGCUUUGUAUAGGAUAAAUCAAUCAAUUUGAGUAUGGAUUCUUACAAAAUAUUUAUUAAAUAAAACAUAUCAAAUUACUAAAAAUAUAUAACACUUAAAUAUUGUUUAACUAAUACAUUGUAUAAAAAAUUAAAUAUGUUUAACCUAUUUAAUUAAAUUUAGAAUGUAUUAAAUACACCAAAGUUAGUAUCUAUAUUUAGAAAUAAAUUAAAAAUACUAGCUAUAAUAAUAUACCAUAUUAUUUUGCAGGACCAAUGAUUUUGUGGAACGGGAAAUAUAGUAUUCUCGUCUCCGUCUUAGAAAAUUUUCUGCGUCUUCAUCCCUAUGGCUGCGUUUGGUUCGGGUAUAAGUAAGAACUGCUAGUUCGAGUGAUAGGUAUAAGUUCAGGUAUAAGAAGGAAUUAGACCAAUUUUGCGUUUGGAUGAAAAUUGAGUUGUUCCUAGGAAUAAGUUAAAUAGUGUUUGGAUAGUUAGAUUGGAACAAGAGGAAUAAAAGUUAUAAUUUAUUUGAAAUUAAAAUUAUAUUAUGUAAUUAGUUAACAUCAAAAUAUUACUGAAAAAUAAAUAAGAAAUUAAUUAUUAAUAAUUAAUUAUAAAUAAUAAUAAUUAAUAAUAAUUAAUUAUAAAUAAUAAAUUAUUAAUAACGAUUAUCUAAUUAAUAAUAAUUAUUAUUAUUAUUAAUUAUUAAUAAAUAAUAAUAAUUAUUAAUUAUUCUUAUUAAUUAAUUAUAAAUAAUAAAUUAUUAAUAAUAUUGAUUAUCUAAUUAUUAAUAAUAAUUAAUAUUAAUAUUAAUUAAUAAAUAAUAAUAAUUAAUAAAUAAUAAUUAUUAUUAUUAAUAAUUAAUUAUAAAUAAUAAAUUAAUAAUAACAUCGAUUAUCUAAUUAUUAAGAAUAAUAAUAAUUAAUUAAUUAUUAAUAAAUAAUAAUAUUAAUUUAUUAAUUAUUAAUUAUAAAUAAUAUAUUAAUAAUAAUAUCGAUUAUCAUUAAGAAUAAUAAUUAUUAAUAAAAAAUUAAUAAAUAUUAUUAAUUAUUAAUAAUUAAUUAUAAAUAAUAAAUUAAUAAUAAUUAUUAUUUAAUUAUUAAUAAUUAAUUAUAAAUAAUAAAUUAAUAAUAAUAUCCAUUAUCAUUAAGAAUAAUAAUUGUUAAUAAUUAUUAAAUAAAUAAUCAUAAAUAUUAUUGAUUAUUAAUAAUUAAUUAUAAGUAAUAAAUUAAUAAUAAUAAUUAUCUAAUUAUUAAUAAUUAAUUAUAAAUAAUAAAUUAAUAAUAAUAUUGAUUAUCUAAUUAUUAAGAAUAAUAAUUAUUAAUUAAUAAUGAUUAAUAAAUAAUAAUAAUAAUAGUUAAUUAUUAAUAAUUAAUUAUAAAUAAUAAAUUAAUAAUAAUAUCCAUUAUCAUUAAGAAUAAUAAUUGUUAAUAAUUAUUAAAUAAAUAAUCAUAAAUAUUAUUGAUUAUUAAUAAUUAAUUAUAAAUAAUAAAUUAAUAAUAAUAAUUAUCUAAUUAUUAAUAAUUAAUUAUAAAUAAUAUAUUAAUUAAUUAUUUAAUUAUUUAAGUAAUAAAUAAUAAUUUAAAUAUAUUAAUUAGAUUAAUUAAUAAUUUACUGUCAUUAAAAUUAAAUUUAGAUUUUAAUUAACCUUGUUCUCAUCAAGGAACAAGUUUGUUCCACGAAACAGGUAGAACAGCAAUUCCAGUCUUAUACCAGCUUGUUCCAGAUUCUCGGAAACUACUGUCUCCGGAAACCAAACAUACUAAUUUGGGAACAAAGGCAGGAACAAGAGCUUAUUCCCCCCGUUAUUUUCGAACCAAACGCUACCCAUAAGAAUAAAACAUUUUCAUUUUUGUUCUAUUUGGGACCGAUCCUCGUACAUUUGAAGAUAUGCAAGAUAGGAAUGUAUAUUUGUUCGUGAGCUCAAUUAAAAAAUUCACUUUAUUUGUUAACUUAACAAAAGUAUAUUAUUAAUAAUAUAUAAAAGCAAUUAGUGCCGCACUGAUAAUCUGAAAAUAAAAUAACACUUGGAUUCUGCAAUUGUUAUUAAUAAAGUUAAUAUUGAGAAUGCUACAGUUAAUUAAUCAUUAAUAAGAUAUUUUAUUUGCAAUUAAUUAAAUAAAAAUUCCCAUGUAUGUAAUAGUGCACAUUAAAAAGGAAAUGUACGAUCUCGGAACACGAAAGCGUACGGUACUUUCUCAACGGAAGUGUUAAAAAAAAAAAGGGACAGGAGGCAUCAAACGACAGAGAACAGCCCACGUGGCGAGAUCAGGACCACCGGAUGACCAGGGGACAGUUUCCCUGUACUAACGUAGCGCAAACCCCACUUCUCUCAACCCACGGUCUCCCGCGCGUUGACCGAGAAAUUAUGGCUGCACCCGGUGUAUUAGUACGCUUUAUGGAUCUUUUAUAAUAAUUAAUGAUUUGGCAAAAUUUUGCACAGACCCUCUGGGGGGAAAAAUUCUAGAAUGCAACGGGUAUAUUAGUGACGUGGCGUAACAAACUAAUCAAAUUAAUCCUUUUAAGAAUAUAUGUCCCAUCAUGAUUGUAAAAAAAUAUUUUUAUUGUACUUUUGUUUGAAAAGAAUGAAUGUGAUUGGCUUGUUAUUGAUGACGUGGUGUAAGUGUGACAGUGUAGAAUUCCUCCUCUGGGGGACUCAAAUUUCUAAAUUUAAAAUAGGGGGUAAAUUUUUUAUUAUAAAUGUAGAAAUUAUGUAGCCUUCUCGGAGACUCAAAUUUCACACAUACUCUUUUAGCUGACUAAAUAUUCAUAUAAUAUAAACGUAGAAACGAUGCAAUAGUGCUGUGAUUGGUGAUGACAAAAUAAAAUUGAGUCAAUAAAAUUGCAGGAAAAUUGAGGUUCAUGAUAAUUUUCUAUAUUUGAAAGGGUAUUUAUGAUAUUUUAACUUUUGUAGGGAUAUUCAUAAAAUUUAUAAGUUAUCUUAAAAAUGGUACAUGAUGUAUACCCCACCCAUCAAACGUGAGAUGAUUUUUACUAAUCACGUUAAUGUGACUACUGAAAAAGUCCCCACCCUAGGAUAGUAAAAAGUUUAGAAUGUACUGAUUAUAUUAUUAAUGUAACAUUUCUAACCAAUCAGACUGCCUUUCUUGGGUUCACCUAUCCCAUCAUGGUUAUUAGAAAAAUAUUUUUAUUAUACUUCUCUCAACGAGACAUGUGAUUUACAAAUUAUUGAUGAUAUGGUGUAAAUGUGACACAACAGACUUUUUUUUAGGAUAGAUGAGGUGUACAUAUAUACCUCUUUUGGGGUGUACAAAUAUUUUUAUUCGGAUUAAAAAAGAGUUAAGCACUAAUUAACUUAAUAAAAUGAUGGUUGUUUUUUUCUUAACAAUUCAUUGUAGGCAAAAUAUCAAUAUAUUUUACCUUCUAAACUGUUUGUUUUAUAACAAUAGCAGGACUUUUUAAUUUUUCAUUAGGUGUAUUAUAUCAGUUUUAUUUGAUUAAUUUUUUUAAAAAAUAUGUUAAAUUUAAGUUUACUAAAUUCUUAACUUGUUUGGAGAUAAAAUAAAAUUUUUGAAAUAGUUCAUUCAAUAUGAAUGUAAAUUUUACUAAUAAAUGGAUUUGAUUUUUUUUUUUUGAUAUCUACAAGGGCAUUGAUAAUAUUUUGAACUUUCAAAGAGCAUUCAUGAAAAUUACCAUUUNAGUAUUUAUCCAAAAAACUCUCGUUUCAAAGAUUUAAAAUAUCCUUUUUUCUAUGAACAUGUAAGAUUUACUCCAUAUAUUACAUGUGAAGUGGGCACUCUAUAGAAAAUGAUCGAUGUAGCUAUACUGAUUACCUUUUUAAAAUGAGAGUUUACUUGCCUUAUACGUAGUAUGUGGGAAAAACCCCACGUAUAUAUUGUAACGGGUAAAAUAAAAUCUUAUUAUUGUUAUUUUCUCUAUCAAAAGACUUACGGGAAUACAAUUUACCAUUAAAAGUACUUACGAGAAACUUUCAAGUUUUAUAAUAGUUACGGGAACAUCUAUAGUUUUUUUUUUUUAGUUUAGGUAAAUAAUCAUUUUAAAUGUAAGUAUAACUUACUUGAUAAAGUUUUUAAAAUAAAAUAGAGGUUUGUUCAAUUCUUAAAUCAUUUGAAUUUAAAUUGUAUAAAAAAUUUUUUUAAUUAGUUUAUUUUGACUAUAUUAUGUGGAUUACUUUUUAAUUUUUCAGGACGAUAACAAUAUUUUGUUUGUCAAAUCUUCCAUUUUAUAUAACUAUAAAACGGAUGUUACUUAACAAUUCUUUUUUUGUUGGUAGUAAAAUAAUUCAAUUAAUCACGAAUUGAGAAAAAAUUAGGCUUAUUUUUAUAAACAUGUGGGGUUUUCUCCAUAUAUACAUGUGGAGUAGAUAGGAUUUUUUUUCAGACAACACAGUGUAAAUGUGGUAUAGUAGUUAUUAAACAUUUAGUGUACAGAGCAACUCUCUUCAUAUUAUUUUUAUAAAAAGAUUAUUGGUACUACCCUAUCCACUUGGGUUCUUUCCGUCAGACUAACCAAUCUUUACAAUGUAAUUAUUAUAUUAGUCAUGUAAGAUUUGAAAAAUGAUAGGAUCCCACCCCUGAAAAAGUCAUCAGUGUAAUUGCACUAAUCAUUUUUAGUAGAGUGCAAACUACCCACCCCAUAUGUAGUACAUGGUAAAAAUUCUAUUGAAUAUUUAAAAUACUUAUAGGGAUGUUUUCAAUUUUAUAGUAUUUAUGGGAAAGUUUAUAUCUUUUAAUAGUACUUGGAGUUAAAAGGACGUUAAAAUAACUGAGUUAAAAUAAAACAGUAGUGGUUAGUGUCGUGAUAACGUAGCAAAGAUGCAAAUAUAAUAUACUUAUAAAUCAGUCGAUUUUCUCAUACACACUUUAAACUCAGAGGCUCUUCCGAUGUAUUAAAGAUGUAAAUAUUAUUUUUUAAAUGGGGGAUAAAAUUUAAAUCUUUAAACUCAGGGGGUCUCCUCCUUAAGAUGUGACAGUGUGAAUGUGGUGCAGUAGUUAUUGUUCGGUUAGUGUAAGUAAGAAAAGUUUGUUUUCAUGUUAUUUUUAUAAAAAAAUGUUAGUACUACCCUGUAUAUAAGAAUUUUCCUAAUUAAACUAAUCAAACAAUGCGGUGCAGUGAUUAUAUGGGCAACGUAAGAUCUUAAAAAGGGGGGUCUCCCAGACACGUUUUAAAACGGUUUAGUAAUUAAUAAUAUUUUCUAGGUAUUUCGCAUGAUUAUGUGGCCCACGUCGGUAUUAAAGAGCCAGUUGCGCGCCCUCUGGCACCCAACUCUCUUCACCCCAAACGCGAUGCAAUCAUGUCCCUUUGACAGGGGACCAGUAGGCCACCAGGACUAGAGCGGUGCACCCGACAAGAGACAGCAAACUACGGAGGACAGGGAAAAAAAAAAAUUGUGAAGGCAACUCUUUCAUGGCAUGCGAAAGCACAAGGCUCUAGCAUGUAAAGGAAAAAUUACACGUGAUAAUGUAUGUACCCUUAAAAAUAAAUUAAUUAACGUUUAUUUUAUAGAAUAAUUACUAAUUAAUUGACAUCGUAAGAGUUAUAAUUGAAAUAAUUAUUGUUAACGUCUUAGGUUCACAAUAAAAUAAAAGUCUAAUAGUCACGCCGUGAUUAACGAAAAUAUAUAAUAAUUAUUAUAUGAAAACAAUUCAAUUGUUUAUUUCACUUAAAAAAUUAACUCGAGUGCUUGUUUAUAUGUAAGGAUAGAACGUAUAGAAGUUUACAUGCUCCUAGCCAGGGUUUAUCUUGUUUUUACUUUUACAAAAUAAGAAUACCCAUCGCAAACCAAGCUUUUAUUGCCCCCCUUAUUCGAGAACAAGGACGGAAACAAGGGUUUAAUCAUACAAACCAAAGGCCUCUGUCAUCAAAGGCUCUUAGACCUUGUUCGACCAUAUUCUGACCUUAACGACAAGAUGGACAAAGCACCUUGUUUGAACAAGGAACUACUCUUGUUCCAAUUAAUUUUAGAUUUAAAUUAAAAUUACUGUCAUUUAAUAAUUAAUUAGAUUAAUUAUAUAAAUUUAAUAAUAAAUAAUGAAUUUAUUAAAAAAAAAAAGAACUCUGAUGUUAUUUAGGCAUUAAAUAACUUUUUAUUAGUCACAUUGAUGUAGCUAGUAAAAGCUAUCGCACCGGUGAAGUGUACAUUAUAUACCUCAUUUAGAAUGUACAAGUACCUUUUUUCAAGUACCUUUUUUUCUAGAGUUUUUUUUGCAUUUAGCCCCUUGGCAAAUUUUUUUUUUAAAAUAGUUUUGUCAAAAUUUAAUUUGCAAAAAUGGUCCUAGGCCUGCCACGCAGGCGCCACGUCAGCACCACACGGGCGGGGCUAGGGGGCGGUAGUUAAGUUAAACACGGUGAAUGGUUCACCUUGUUUGGUACGUAUUUUUUGUAUAUUAAAAAGAGGAAUAGGAAAUUUGUAUUCAUUUUCUUCUAUUUUUCAAAAAUCUGAACCCGAACCCGAACCCGAAAAUCAAAUUAAAAUUCAAACCCGGAUCCGAACCCGACGGAUUUUAAAAGUUCAUAUCCAUAUUCAUAUCUGACCAAAAACUUGAAACCCGAACCUGAAUCCAGCGGAUUUUAAAAAUCUAUACCGUUGGAUAAAGAUCUAAGAAAUAAAAAUUAUUAUAUUUUUUAUAUAUUGUAUAAAUAAAUAAAAAUAAAUUAUGUAUAUAUAUACUUAUUAAUUUAUUCGGGUUUGAAGUUCGAAUAAUAUUUCGGCACUAAUCCAUAGUUUAUUGAACGAUCACGUAUCUUAUAUCCUCUUUUCAUAAAAAUACGUACUAUAACACAGAUGACUAUUCAACCGUGUUUGAACCGGGUUAAGUGGUUCAUCCGUGUCACUUAAACACGUGUCCGCCUGCCGGGGGCUGACGUGGCGCUGCGUGGCAGGUACCCCAGGACCAUUUUUAGCAACUUAAUUUUGACAGGCGCUAAUUUUACAAAUAAAACAUUUGCACGGGGCUAAAUGUAUAAAAAGCUUUUUCCUAUAAAAUUUGGAAAUUUGCCAUUUCAAAAAAGCGCUAUUUAUUGAAAAAAAAAAACUCUGAUGUAUUUAGGUCGCUUAAAUAAUUUUAAAAUAAUAAUAUCCAAAGGGACGGUUAAUCUUAGGGAUUCUCAUAAGGGUAUUGGAUGUCCGAAAUUUAUUCGAAGCGAACCCGAGUGAAACGGCAUAUUCCGAAUGCUAAUGAAUUUGGAUUCAGAUUAUGGAUAUCAAAAAUAAAUAAUUCGACGGAAUCUGGAUUGGAUAUGAUUUUGGACUGAUAAUCGACCCAGAAGCCGAUUUAUUUUGUAUUAAUAUAAUAUAUAUAUAUUAAAAUUUUUGAUGUAUAUAUUUGAAUUUGUAUUUUAAAAUUCAUAGUUUAGUAUAAUAUAUUUUGAAAUAUUUGAAAAAAUAAAAUAAUUGUUUCGGGUUCAAAUUUUCGAGUUCUGCGUUCGGGUUCGGGUUCGAAUUUUUCGUUGGUUCGGGUUUGGAUAUCUGGAUUUGUCUAAAAUCCGUCGGGUGUUGAGAUUGGGGUUCGGGUGUUGCGUCUCGGGUUGUGGAAUCGGUCGGCGUUCGGAUUGUGUUGAAAAUCGCCCGAAUCGACCGUUUGACAUGCUCUAGUUAGAUCAUAAAUUUAGCAUUCAAAAUUUAGCAUUCUUGGUGCUUGUAAUUAUUUAGUCAUUGGAUUAAAAAAUAUGGUUAGGAUGACGUGGGCCCCCUAGGAUUGAGUGGAGUGGUUGGUUGAAUAUAGAUAUAAUCUAACGGUUGAAAAUGAUCAAAGACAUAAAUCUAAUGUAAAAAAAUUUUAUAAGGCACCAAUGUUUCAUGCUUUUACAAGCAUCAUAUCUGAACUAUUAUUAUAUAUAUAUAUAUAUAUAUAUAUAUAUAUAUUAUAUAUAUUAUAUAAAUAUAUAAUUUCAGAAGUAUAAAAGUUAUUGUUUCCGAAUUUUUUGAUUCUUAGACUAAAAAUUAUAGACUGAGAUCACAGUGGUCCUCAUAGGAGUUUAGUAAUUUCCGAAGAGAAUAAUAUUAAUUUAAAGAUAGAAAUGAUAAAAAAAAAUGAUUCAAAAAUGUAAAAAUGAGCACCACGUAAGUGCAGAUUUCGAGGACUUUUUUUAAAUAACCCUCUAAAAUUUUUAAAAUUUGCGCGAAUAACCCACUCAAUUUUUAUUUGUAAAAUAACCCUCUUUUGCCACGUGGCGCCACGUUAGAAUUUUUUUAAAGGGGUAAAUCGUUACGGCGUUUUUUCAUUUUUUUUAAAGAGGUGAAUCGUUCACCGUCUUUUCCUAUUUCUUUUAAAGAGGGUGAACUUUUCACCCGUUUCUCCCAUACUUUAUUUACUGUUAUUUUCUAUAUUCCAUAUAUAAUCCUAACAAUCACAUAAAAUUUAACAAAUUAUAUUAUAAUUUAACAACUUUUAAAUCUGAAUAUUAUCUAUAUAAUUUCAUAUAAUCUUAACUGCUUUUAUAUGAAAUUAUAUGGAUAAAUUAUUAGGAUUUAAAAGUUGUUAAGAUUAUAUGGGAUAUAGAAAGAAACAGUAAAUAAGUGAAAGACGGUGAAUGAUUUACCGUUUUUAAAAGAAAUGGGAGAAAGCGGUGAACGAUUCACCGCCUUUAAAAGAAAUAAGAGAAAACGGCGAACGAUUCACCGUCUUUAUAAGAAAAUCCUGACGUGGCGCCUACGUGGCGAAAGGAGGGUUAGUUUUACAAAUAAAAUUUUCAUAUAGUUAUUUUGCCAAUUACAAUUUUUUAGAGGGUUAUUUUAUAAAAAAGCCCGAUUUCGAAUCACAAUAGUUAGACUCAUUAUAUAUUACAUAUAUAGGUGUUCGAAUUACAGUGCAUGAAAUGUUAUAACACCGGGUGCAUGAAAUAAUUUACUCUCGAGUCAUACCAGUAUCGUGCAGUAGGAUCGGCAGCUACAGCCACCCCUACUCUGAGAAAUUAUUGCGUGCACUCAGUGUAUUCACUUGCCACAUGCACCGCGCAUAAUAAUAUCGUACUGCUAAUUAAUUCAUUGCAUUUUAGUUUCAAGCUUUUAAUUUUUGGUAAUAUUUCGGUUUAAAUUUUUAGAUUAUUAUAAGCAAAAUUCACGAUCUAAUUUACUUUACUAUAUCAUAAUGUAUUAUUGAUUUACAUUUUAUUUGAGACCUUAAAGAAAAUUGAUGCCUAAAAUUUUAUAAUUUUAUAUAUAUAUAUAUAUAGGCGAGAGGAGCGGUGCAUGGGGAUGCACUCGUACACCUGUUGCGGGCGAUAAUUUUUUCGCCAACCCACUCCGCACGUGCGACCAAAACCGCCUCUUAAAUCUCACAUAGGUUAAAAUGUAUGAAGAACCCCUACACUACCGUUCAUCUGAAAUGGACCCUUCAACUAAUUAAUUUUUUUCUUUGUUUACUGUGAAUUCUUUGAUAAAUUUUUUGAUUGAUUAGAGAUGUUAAAGCAACACUAAUAAGUAAACAAAUUUGGAAGUUGAAGGAUGUGAAUCGGAAAUGGAAUAUCGUUGAGGAGUUCUUUAUACAUUUUGCACCAAGCUAAGCUAAUAAACACCCACCCACUCCACCACUUUUCCCCUCCCAAACCCCUCUGUUUUUUGCCUCUUCGUCCCACUCUACAGAUAAACCGAAUCUUUCCCCUCUCUCUCUCUCUCUCUCUCUCUCUCUCUCUCUCUCCUUUCCUCUUUCUUCUUUUUCUGCUAUUAACCCCUCUCAAGCGUUGUUGUUGUGUGUGUGUGUGUGUGUGUGUGUGUGCGCGAGAGAGAGAGAUAGAGAGAGAGUAGCGUUGAUACACCGUGUGGAAUCAGAACAAUAUCUUACUUCGCUUUUUUUUUUUUUUUUUUCUUCUUUUUGUUCCUCUCAAUUCUUGCGUGAUUUGUACGGUAUAUCACCGCCGCUCCCUUGCUAUCUGUCUCCCUCUCCCUCUCCCCCAAGCUUCUUCUGAGGACAAGAAAAGGAAGCCCAAAAAAAAGAAAAGAAAAGAAGAAGAAGAAAUCUCUUAUUUUGUUGUUGUUGUUGUUGUUGUUGUUGUUGCUGCUGCUGCUGCUGUUGUUGUUGUUGUGUUUGUUUGUUACUGUUGUUGUUGUUGUUGUUGUUGUUGUUGUUGUUGUUCGGAGAUGGAGAGGAGCGACCCGGCAUCGUACUGGUUCGGCGACGACGACGACGACUUCGACCCCGCGGCGCUCCCCGCCCUCGAUCGCGCCGCGGACGACGACGGCGGCUUUCUCUCCGAGAUCGACCGCAUCCUCGAGAGCAUCAACUCAGAACAGGCCUCGCCCCCGGCCCCGGCGGCGGCGGCGGCGGCGGCGGCGGCGGCGCCGCCGCCUGAAAUUGUUGUGGCCUCUGAAUUCGCAAUCGCCGAGACGGCAGCGGCGGCGGUCCUCGGGAAGGAGUUCGUCGUCAAGAACGGCGGAGCGGCGAGGAGGGACGGCGAUUGGAGGGAUCGGAGAAGGCGGGGGGACGGCGAGUGGGGCCGGAAGAGAGAGCGCGACGGCCUCGCCGGAGACAGGAGGGAGUGCCGGCGAGGGUAUUGGGAGCGCGACAGGUCCGGGAAGGUCGUCUACCGUGUCGGCUUUUGGGAGCCCGACUGCGAAAGAGAGGCCAAGAGAGUGCGAAGGGGUAGCCCGGAGCAAACCAGGGCGAGCCCCGAGUCGCGGCGGACGGAGGAUGCCGCCGCUGCCGCAGCGGCAAAGAAGGAGAAGCCGGCAGAGGAGCAGGCGCGGCAGUACCAGCUCGACGUCCUCGAGCAGGCGAAGAAGAAGAACACCAUCGCCUUUCUUGAGACCGGGGCCGGGAAGACCCUCAUUGCCGUGCUUCUGAUCAAGAGCGUCUGCGCAGAUUUGCUCAAAGAGAACAAGAAGAUGCUCGCCAUCUUCCUCGUCCCAAAAGUCCCUCUUGUGUAUCAGGUAGUAUAUCUAGCACAAGAGGAAGCUCUGAUAUUGUGUGCUUGUUUCUAAGGGUUUUGAAUUUUGAUGAUUACAGCAAGCGGAGGUCAUUCGCGAGAGGACCGGGUGCAAUGUCGGGCAUUACUGCGGGGAGAUGGGACAAGAUUUCUGGGAUGCUCGGAGAUGGCAACGCGAAUUUGAAUCCAAAGAGGCAAGAGUCUCAUUUUUUUUUUCUCGAAUUUCCUCGUGAAAAGUUAAUCUUUUUACUCGUCUCUAUAUCUUAAUUUUUGAUAUCUUGGUUCAGUUUAGUGUGCAACUUCGAUGGGGAUAUGUUUUCAAAGGAACUUCCGUACUAAGAUUUAAACAAUUCGCUUUAUUAGCUUCGGAGGAAUUUUUAGGAGAUUCUUCAAGAACAUAUUGAAAUGAGUUGUUCUUUGCAGGUACUAGUUAUGACAGCUCAAAUUUUAUUAAACAUUCUCAGGCACAGUAUAAUUAAAAUGGAAGCUAUCCAUCUUCUAAUUUUGGAUGAGUGCCAUCAUGCUGUGAAAAAACAUCCAUAUUCCUUAGUGAUGUCUGAAUUUUAUCAUACAACUCCAAAGGAUAGAAGGCCUGCUGUUUUCGGUAUGACGGCUUCUCCUGUCAACUUGAAGGGUAUGAUCUUUUUGGAGUGUUGUGUUGUUCCAUCGUAACUUUCCGUUGUUCUUUUCUUGGCUAGCACAUGCAAUAGCAUUCGCCAUCUUGUGUUCCAAAACUUCUGCUAGUAGUGAAUUGGAUUUUUUUUUUUUUCUUUCUGCUCAGGAGUUUCUAGUCAGGAGGACUGUGCUAUCAAGAUUCGGAAUCUUGAAAGCAAAUUGGAUUCCAUUGUGUGUACGGUGAAAGAUCGAAAAGAGCUGGAGAAACAUGUUCCUAUGCCUUUGGAAAUUGUCAUCCAGUAUGAUAAAGCAGCUACUCUCUGGUCGCUGCAUGAGCAAAUUAAACAAAUGGAAGUGGCUGUUGAAGAAGCUGCGCGCUCUAGCUCGCGAAGAAGCAAGUGGCAGUUCAUGGGAGCUCGAGACGCGGGGUCAAAGGAGGAACUGCGCCUCGUCUAUGGUGUUUCCGAAAGAACUGAAAGUGACGGUGCUGCUAAUUUAAUUCAGAAAUUGCGAGCUAUAAAUUAUGCCCUAGGUGAACUAGGACAAUGGUGUGCUUAUAAGGUAUAUUUCAUUAUAUCAAAUUGCCUGUAGCUAAUGUUUUGCAAACACAUCAUAUUUAAAUAGCUCUUGCAAAACUGGUUUCAGGUUGCGCAAUCAUUUUUGACAGCUUUGCAAAAUGAUGAAAGGGCUAAUUACCAGGUUGAUGUCAAGUUUCAAGAGCAAUAUCUAAUGAAAGUUGUAGGAUUAUUGCAAUGCCAGCUGUCUGAGGGAGCUGUCACGAAAAAUGAUUCAGACAAUGCAAAUAUGCGCAAUGGUGACUGCCAGUGCACGGAAGAACUAGAGGAGGGGGAGUUGCCGGACAGUCAUGGUCGGUGCUUGAGUUUGGCUUGUUACUAGCUUUUCUCAAUCUUCUAAAUUUUUCACUUUCGUUUUAUAGAUCUUUUUUGUGGGUUUUUUUUUUUUUUUUUUUUUUUUCCAUUUGUUUAGUUUAUCUGAUUUUGUCUGCAUUGCAACUUUUGUAGCCGUCUCUGGUGGUGAACAUGUAGACAUUAUCAUUGGAGCUGCUGUGGCAGAUGGAAAAGUUACUCCUAAGGUGCAGGCGUUGAUUAAAAUACUUCUUAAGUACCAACACACAGAGGAUUUUCGUGCUAUUAUCUUUGUGGAGCGAGUGGUUGCUGCAUUAGUUCUUCCCAAGGUUAAAUAUACCCUACUGCUUUAUUUAUUUAUCUGCGAAAGAUCUUAUAGUGAGCCUAGAUCACUUUAUGUAACUCUUUUUCUUUCCAUAUUCAGGUCUUCUCAGAGCUUCCGUCCUUGAGCUUCAUUAAAUGCGCGAGUUUGAUUGGACACAACAAUAAUCAGGAGAUGCGCACAUGCCAAAUGCAGGACACGAUCGCUAGAUUUCGUGAUGGAAGGGUAUGUUUUAAUUCCAGAAAUUUCUGGGUGCUAAAAUCAUAUAGCUGCAACUAGUGCUGGGAUUCAUAUUUUUAAUGAAAUUUUUGUUGGCCGCUAUUUAGCUUGCUUAUUGUUUAUUUGCAAACUGGCUGUCCCCUUGAAGUACUGUCUUCUGAAAUAAUACUAAGAAGUCUUGCCCACCUUUGGAGCAAAGUUGAUGUACGAUGAAGUUGUUCAUUGUAACAUGCAGGUUACUUUACUAGUAGCUACAAGUGUAGCUGAGGAAGGACUUGAUAUUCGGCAGUGCAAUGUUGUUAUUCGUUUUGACCUUGCAAAAACUGUUCUAGCUUAUAUCCAAUCAAGAGGUCGUGCUAGGAAGCCUGGAUCAGAUUACAUAUUGAUGCUUGAAAGGUACUUGAUGUUUACUAGGAAGUUGUAUACACUACUAGUUAUUUAUCUUAUUUUGCUAAACCAGACUGAUGUAAUUUUCAGGGAGAACUUAUCACAUGAAACAUUUUUGAGGAAUGCCCGUAAUAGUGAGGAAACGUUGAGAAAGGAAGCUAUAGAGAGAACUGAUCUCAGUCAUCUUAAAGGUACUCCUAGGUUAAAUCCAAUUGAUAUAUUACCCGGUUCGAUGUAUCAGGUGGAGUCAACAGGUGCUGUUGUCAGUUUAAAUUCUGCUGUUGGACUCAUCCAUUUUUACUGCUCCCAGCUACCCAGCGACAGGUACUUGCCUUUCAUGAGGAACUGUAGAUCUCUAGGUCUUUCUCUGAAUUGCCUUUUUUUAAAAUUCUUUUUAUAAUUUUGUGAAUUUAAUGCAUCUUAUGUUGAAUUAGAUAUUCAAUACUUCGUCCGGAGUUCAUAAUGGAAAGACAUGAGAGGCCUGGGGGCCCAACUGAAUAUUCCUGCAAGCUUCAACUCCCUUGUAAUGCUCCAUUUGAGAAGCUUGAGGGUCCUAUAUGCAGUUCAAUGCGCCUGGCACAGCAAGUAUGAUUAUAUUUGGCUACCAAUUAUUAUCAAACAAUGUGGGUAUCAGAAAAAGUGUGAACUGGGAGUUGUCUCUACUUUGCAGGCUGUUUGUUUGGCUGCUUGCAAGAAACUACAUGAAAUGGGAGCAUUUACGGACAUGCUUUUACCUGACAAAGGAAGUGGAGAGAGGGGUGAAAAAGUUGAGCAGAAUGAUGAAGGUGAUCCGCUUCCUGGAACAGCACGGCAUAGAGAGUUCUAUCCUGAAGGUGUUGCAGAAAUUUUACAGGUGAGUUCAUUUCAAACUCUGUUAUUUAUUUCCAAUCAUUUUUCGCAUCAUUUGAAUUGUUGUUUACGGAAGGUGGUGAUAUUCCAAUUUAUAGGUUUAGAGGGAAUUCUUUCAUUAUUAUUAGUGUAAUCAUGCUUGCAAAUUUAGUCAUCCAUUUGAGAAUAAUUUUUGCUGAAGAUUGAUCUGAGAUUCGCUUUGAUAUUAGCAUCAUCUAGAAGACAAUAACUGAAAAUCUACAAUGCAAGUUAUUUUUUUUCCACUGUAAAGCUUUUGCUUUUUCACUAAAGUUUAAACAUUUCCUUUUUGCAUACUAUUUCGGGUUUCUAUUGGUCUUGCUCAGGCAAAUGGGCAAUUGAUAGAUCUAAACACAUCUUUAAGCCUUGGAGGGUGGAUCUGUCAUUUCAUUUAUUGGGUGAUGUGACCUUCAUUUAUUUCCAUUUUUGUUACAAAGAAAGGACAUAGACUAAGACUGAGCGAAUUGACGGAAAAAAAAAAAAAAAUCAGGCUUCUAUCAGAUUAAUAGUGUGCAGUGAUUUUCCUCAUUCCAUGGUGUCUGGUUACUAUUCUUACUGCUGCACCACCAUCAAGUGCUUUUUCGACCCUUGUCUCUCGAGUAGUGUACUUUUUUUCUUUUUGCUAGGAACGCAUUCGAAGCCUUACAUUGGAGUUAUCUUUAUGAAUGCAGGGAGAGUGGAUUUUAUCUGGGAGAGAUGGCUCCCACAAGUGUCAAUUGUUCAAAUUGCAUAUGUAUGCUGUCACCUGCGUUAAUAUUGGGACUUCUAAGGACCCAUUUCUUACGCAAGUUUCAGAUUUUGCUGUCCUUUUUGGCAGUGAGCUGGAUGCAGAGGUAUAAAUUGAUUACCGCUUUGCCACACAAUCUGGAAAUGGUUUGUUCAUCUCUAAGAACUCGUUUAUAUUUUGUAGGUUUUAUCGAUGACGAUGGAUCUCUUUGUUGCUAGAACAAUGGUUACAAAGGCAUCUCUUGUCUUCCGGGGACCAAUAGAGAUAAUGGAAACUCAGGUUUGUUGCUCUUCUCUAUCAUAAGAAAUAUAUAUGGUAUAAGCUGCUGAUUUUUCACUUUUGGUAUUAAUAUUUUUUUCCAGCUGGUUUUGCUGAAAAGCUUUCAUGUUAGACUCAUGAGCAUUGUACUUGAUGUCGAUGUUGAACCCUCGACGACUCCAUGGGAUCCUGCAAAAGCCUAUCUAUUUGUGCCUAUAGUAGCUGAGAAAUGCGUUAAUCCUGUAGAAGAGAUUGACUGGAUGCUGAUUGAUAACAUAGUGAACGAACACGCAUGGAAGAAUCCACUUCAGAGGGCACGCCCUGAUGUUUACUUAGGUACCAAUGAGCGAACCCUUGGUGGAGAUAGGAGGGAGUAUGGGUUUGGAAAACUACGUCAUGGAAUGGCUUUUGGUCAAAAAGCCCAUCCUACUUAUGGUAUCAGAGGAGCUGUUGCGGAAUUCGAUGUUGUUAAAGCUUCUGGGUUAGUCCCUAAUCGGGAUUAUGGAGUAAGCAUGGAUGAAGCUUAUUAUUAUAGUCAAGGUAAAUUAUUCAUGGCAGACACCUGUAUGGACACGAAAGAACUUGUUGGAAGGAUUGUAACAGCUGCACAUUCGGGGAAAAGGUUCUAUGUCGAUUCUGUUCGCUACGAAAUGAAUGCUGAGAACUCAUUUCCCAGGAAGGAGGGUUACCUAGGGCCGUUGGAGUAUAGCUCUUAUGCUGAUUACUACAGGCAGAAGUAAGUUAAAUAUUCCUUUGUUGAAUGUGUCCUGUAUAUAAGCUUUCAAGAGAUUCUAAUGUAUCAGGUUUAUAAGCUAUCAAGAUAUUCUAAGUUCGGGUCAAAUAAAAUUCACAUCGUUGUGUCUUUCAAUUGUUUUCAGGUAUGGUGUAGAGUUAAUUUAUAAGAAACAACCUCUUAUACGAGGACGGGGCGUCUCAUAUUGCAAGAAUCUUCUCUCCCCUAGAUUUGAGCAUUCUGAAGGUAGUUUUUGUCAUCUCCUUUUGCCUUUUUUUUUUUUUGUGCCUUAUUCUCAUUUUCACUUCUAACUGGCAGAACUUUGGGUUUUUGUAGCACGAGAUGGUGAAUCCGAGGAGAAUCUAGACAAGACCUACUAUGUAUUUUUACCUCCCGAGUUAUGCCUGGUUCAUCCACUUCCUGGAGCUCUAGUCCGUGGUGCUCAAAGGUUGCCCUCGAUAAUGAGAAGGGUAGAGAGCCUUCUUCUGGCAGUUCAGCUGAAGGAUAUGAUCAACUAUCCUGUCCCCGCUUCAAAAGUACUUCCAGCUCCCUCAGUCUGUUUGUUUCCAAAUCGAUACUAAAAGAACCGGUUUUUCUUGAAAAUCUUUAAUUUGCUUAUUUGGCUCCAUGACCUCUUCUUUUUUUUGUCCUUUGGCCAGAUAUUGGAAGCCUUGACGGCAGCUUCAUGUCAGGAGACAUUCUGCUAUGAAAGAGCGGAGCUGCUUGGCGAUGCAUACCUCAAGUGGGUUGUCAGUAGAUUCCUUUUCCUAAAAUAUCCUCAAAAACAUGAGGGGCAACUUACCAGGAUGAGGCAACAGAUGGUGAGUAACAUGGUACUGUACCAAUACGCCCUUAAUAAGGGGCUCCAAUCGUACAUACAGGCAGAUCGCUUUGCCCCUUCUAGAUGGGCUGCUCCUGGAGUUCUUCCUGUUUUCGAUGAAGACACCAAAGAAUUGGAUUCGUCCAUUUUUUAUGAAGAAUCUCCUGCUGAUGACGGUGAGCUUCAAAAGGACUAUUACGAUGAUUGUGAAGAAAAUUUCCGAGAAGAUGGUGAAAUCGAGGGUGAUUCAAGCUGCUAUAGAGUUCUCUCUAGCAAAACUUUAGCAGAUGUUGUGGAAGCAUUGAUUGGGGUCUAUUAUGUUGAAGGUGGGAAAAUUGCAGCAAACCACCUUAUGAACUGGAUCGGGAUCCAAGUGGAGCUGGACCCACUGGAGAUUCCCCCUCCAAAGCCAUAUAAUAUACCUGAAAGCGUGAUGAGGAGCAUCGAUUUUGAUUCCCUAGAAGGCACAUUGAACAACAGGUUUAGAGACAGGGGACUACUGGUUGAGGCCAUUACGCAUGCCUCGAGGCCUUCGUCGGGUGUUUCUUGUUACCAAAGGCUCGAAUUUGUUGGUGAUGCUGUGUUGGACCAUUUGAUCACAAGGCACUUAUUCUUCACGUACACUGACUUGCCCCCUGGUCGCCUGACUGACUUGCGGGCUGCAGCUGUAAACAACGAGAACUUUGCACGGGUUGCGGUCAAGCACAAGCUGCACGCGCACCUUCGUCAUGGAUCAAGUGCAUUGGAGGCACAGGUUUGCUUGUUUUCAUUCACCUGUUUCUAGCUUAAAGGGAUUAAAAAUGAGUAAAUGAAUGUUUUGUUUUGUUGAAGAUUCGGGAAUUCGUGAAGGAAGUACAAGAAGAGCUGUCAAAACCAGGUUUCAACUCUUUCGGUCUUGGAGAUUGUAAGGCUCCAAAGGUUCUUGGAGAUAUUGUUGAGUCUAUUGCUGGAGCCAUUUUUCUUGACAGUGGGCGUGAUACUUCAAUAGUUUGGACGGUAGUUUUUUGGUUCUUUCAGUUGAUUCACUAUUGUAGCAUUUUUAUUCCAGAUCCCAUGAAAGAAUGAAAUAAUAUUUUGGGUAAAAUGUAUGGAAAGUCCCUUACUAUGUUAUUAUUGCUAGUUGGUCCCUAAACUUAAAGACUUAGAAGUCCUUUCGUAAUUAAGUUAUCUUACAACAUGCGACUUCUUCCUAUAAUGUUGUAACCUUUUUAACUGCUUCAAGAACAAUGGAAUAAGUAGUCAUUAUAGACAGUUAAGAUGACCUAUACAGGAUCAGCUGUACUUAUUUAUUUUUAUGAAAUUGCAAUAUAUGAGAAGGCUCAAGAAUUAAAAUCUUUCAGUGAAGAGUUCAGAGGCUAAAUCUCAAUGUCAGGAUUGUACAUGGAUACCUUACUGAUUUUUGCAGCAAAAAAGGUCAUAUGAUUGAUUCCUUUUGCCACCCAGGUAUUCCAACCGUUGCUGCAUCCGAUGGUGACCCCGGAGACUCUUCCGAUGCACCCAGUGAGGGAGCUCCAAGAGCGCUGCCAGCAACAAGCUGAGGGCUUGGAAUACAAAGCGACGCGCGCAGGCAACGUAGCUACAGUGGAAGUUUUCAUCGAUGGGGUUCAGAUUGGAAUAGCACAGAACCCACAGAAGAAAAUGGCGCAGAAAUUGGCUGCGAGGAAUGCUCUCCACACCUUGAAGGAAAAGGACAGCGCAUUGAAGAGAGAUCCAGAGAAGAACGGUGAAAGGAGGAACGGAACUCAGAUGUUCACAAGGCAAACUCUAAACGACAUCUGCUUGCGAAGGCAAUGGCCGAUGCCGCAAUACCGCUGUGUGAACGAAGGUGGCCCUGCACAUGCGAAGAGGUUCGUCUAUGCGGUGCGUGUUAACACAUCCGAUCGUGGAUGGACCGAUGAGUGCAUUGGGGAGCCCAUGCCUAGCGUGAAGAAGGCGAAGGACUCUGCCGCUGUUCUUCUCCUCGAGCUUCUUAAUCGAUCGUAUCCUGAUAAUAAUAAUAAUAAUAAUAAUAAUAAUGAUAAUGAUAUUAACAACAACAACAACAACAACAACAACAACAACAACAAUACAAUAAUAAAUAAUUAUAAAUAAUUAUAAUUGCUGUUGUUUUGUUAUUAUAUUAUUAUUUGAAUGGUGCCAUUCCUUGUGGUCUCUGUUAAGUGCAGCUAGAGCCUAAACAGAGACAAGCUACACAGACAAGUGAAGUAUUCUUUAUGUGCAAUGUUGUAUGCCAGAUGGUAAUUAUUAACUUAAUUCUCUUGAGAGUGGAAAGGAAUGAAAAGAUGUUUUCUUUCAACUCUGUUGUUGCUGGUUCUGUUUCUAAACUGUUUGUUCCCAAGAUGUGUAACUGGAAACCAGAAUCCCAGGACCUGGAGUUGUUAUGUGCCGAUUUAUCGGUUUACUGGUAAAUGUGAUAGUAAUAAUUUUAAGUAGAUGAAGAAUGUUCAGGUGGAGAGAUCAGGUAAACUUGUUUGCUUAUUUCAUGUAACCCUAAGAAGUGAUUGAUUUCCUUGUUUAAUUUAAUUAUAAAUCAUCCAUGUAGAGAACAAGGUAAGUAUCUUGACUAUCAGGACUAAUAAAUAGGGUAAAAUGAACUUCAGCUUUUUGGUAAAUUGAUUUUGAACUUUGAAUUUUUGGCAAGGGAAAACUUCAAAAACCCCUCAUGUGGUUUCGCACUUUUUCACUUUAGUAUUCUAUGGUUUAAAAUGUAUCAAUUUGUCCCCAUGUGGUUUUGUUUUUAUCUUUUCUAUAGUUUUUUUUUUAAUAUUUCGUUAAAUUAUAUACAAAAAACUUCAGAUACCCAUUUAGAUUCACUGAAUAUUUACUUUAGUACUCUUUAAUUUUAAUUUUGUCACUGAUUUAAGAAAAAAAAACAAUAAAAUUGAUAAAAAAAAAAGAGAAAAACGAAACCACAGUGGCGCAAAUUGGUACACUUUAAAUCAUAUGGUACUAAAGUGAGAAAGUGUGAAAUCACAGGGGGAGUUUUUGAAGUUA